AACUACUGAACUAGGAUGAAGAGGACAUGUCCUUCUGCCUUGCCCGUUUUCUGCAGAGGGAAUCUAUCUAUGUGGGCCGUGCUUGCAACCAGAUGUUCACCAGACACGAACAACUGAUCCAAAUCAUCCAACGGACAGGAAUCAUAUGGCUCUCCUCUCUGACUACAAGGCUGGGUUUAACUAUGUCCUAGCAGCACAUAAGAACAGAAGUAUAAGCAGCAUACAAAAUAAUCUACACCGAGUUCCGUCAAAAAGAGUACGAAGACAUGGCUAACCACCAACUAGGAGUCAACAUGCUACUACUAAUAGUGAGAAGCGAUAUGGUUUGCGGUUGGUUAGAGGAAAUAUCAAACCAAGGCCAUGCUGACAAAACGAUCAAAUCAACCGGAAAUUACUACGGAGAGAAGAGCAGAGCAAGAGUUCACGGACCGGAACUGCCACCUUGGGAUCAUCAUGCUGAGAGAUCUGCCAAGGUCAUAAGCAAUCAAUAGUGGCAUGUCCAUGAGGAAAAAUGACAAACAAGAAAAAACAUACUGGCAUGUAGUUAUAAUGGAAUACCAGACCCAGCAGAAGGAGCAGGCAGUGCACAGGAGACGGGACUAUAGCAAAAGGACUUGCUUACUUAAACAGUCCAACCUGCCAAGAUUACAUCGAGCAGCAACAUUACACAUUUACACCCACGAAUCGUAUAACCUAAUUUAGACUUGUACAUGCCACACACAUGAUUGAACAAACAAUGAAAAAUCACAAUACAUCUUAAGAGUAUAUAAAGGUUGCUCUCUGUUUCCUAGUGAUUGCUGAACCCAAGGCAGUUCAAGAAGAAUGAGAUGCUAGCCAACUCAUGGCAGAAUUUUGCAACCAAAUAGGUUGGUGGUUCCAAUGAAACCAAAAUAGAAUAUGAAUAUACAGUUGUACAAACAGCAAAGGGGAGAACUUCCUCCCAUGGCAGUCAAAGUGCCAAUUGCCUAGAAACAGUGAACACAUCGUCCAAAGCCUAUGUGUUACUCCCUCCGGUCCUUUUUAGUUCGCAUAUAAGAUUUGACUGAAGUCAAGCCUCAUAAAGUUUGACCAACUUUAUAGAAAAAAGUACCAACAUUCACAAUCUGAAAUCAAUAUCAAUAGAUGUGUCAUGACUUAAAGUUUCAUAUUGUAUGACUGUAGCAUGGCAUAUGUUGAUAUUUUUUUAUAUAAAUACGGUCAAACUCUGUGAAGUUUGACUUCAGAGAAUUCUAAUAUGCAGAGUAAAAAGGACCGGAGGGAGUACUAUAACAAAACCUAGAUUCACAAGUCAAUGCAAUUAAGUGCUGUCAAUAACGAAGAGGGCAGCAUCUUUUUCCAAGAUCUACUCGGAAGCCGCAAAGUGGGCAUACCUGGUGUAUUUUGUUACAGUGACAAAGUGCUUCAGGAGGAAAAAACAAGGAGCUCAGGGCUUGGACUUAGAAAGUACUGAACUGUGCGCUAUAAUUGACAGCUGUAGCAAUACAAUGCAGAAUGCGGUAGUUACUUCUGAUACGGACUGAAAGCUGGUCCUGUGAGCUUUGGUUGUCACAAACUUACCAUGUUCAUGAAGCGAAGUUCAUCUCUGAGUAUCUGAUAAAUUAUAAGCGAUGUCAAUACAUAUUACUUGGUGUUAACACGACGCAGAAACCUUAUUUAAUUCCCAUGAUCCGAGCUUACCUGAGAACUUUGUUCUUGCGCUGGCCAAGCUCAUGACCUACAACCUCCACCAAAAAGGUAAAGAGAUAAAAUAUAAGUUGUACUUAUAAAGUAAGAUCUAGAGAAUAAUUACCAUUUAAACAUCAGUUAAGACUAAAAGAAUACAGAAUAUGCAAUGAGACUGAGUGGUUUCUUUCACCUGGUAUUUCAGGGGAGUUCAACAAAACAGGAACUUCAGUAACACAAUGGUGUCUGCAGGGAAAAAGAAGAAAUUAACAUAAAGCAAUGGGUAUUCAUCCUUCUUGUACUGCACUGUAGUUCUUGUUUGUCUAUGCAAGUUUCCCAAGUAAAACAUGCGAUCUGGCUUGAAAUAGUCAGGCCGUUGGCAGGCACUCUACAUGGAUACAAAACCUCGAAUCUGCAAAGAACUGGAAUGAAGAAAAGAAAUGCACACACCAAGAUACAAGGUAUAAAGUUACACAAAUUCGUGUGUUGUACAUUGAUGCCUAUAAAAGAAUCAAUGGAACAGGUGGUGAAACGCAAAAACCUCCAACAUCCCAUUUCCAAUAUCCAUGAAGCCAUAUACUGACUUCCUCUUUUCGAAAAAAUAAAUUACCGACUUCCUACACAGAAACGUUUUCUACUAUUUUAUGACUUAUACUGGAACUCCCAGGAAGGCAGCUAAAGCAAAAGUCCGACUCGCAGUGGGAACACGGUACAGAGAAAGGCUAGUUGAGAACCUUGUAAUUGUCGAGGCCAGCCAUUCAAUUCAGUGUAACCAGAAAAUUUGAGCUCCAGAUUGUAAGAAGAAAUAGGAAAAACUAGCUCUGAGAUUAUGGUGUCCUAAUAAUCUGCAUGCUGUAAUUGUGAUUACAUUGAAGAUAGCCAAAAUCUUUAGCACCAACCUGACCAGAAAGUGUGCCAAAAAAAAAUACUGACCAGGAGUAUACAUACAACUGUAACUGUUAUAGGUGAUUAUUUUUCAGAGUUCAGAUGCUAAACUCUGACUGCAACUGAUUUAACUACAACUGCAGUUAGGCAAAUACCAGCUAGCUUUGUUGCAAAGUAUAUACAUACACCUAUAAGGUAAGAACAUGAUAUCUGAAAGCGUGCAACAUAAAGGACACCGAAGUUAGGAUUUUACCUUGGGAAUACUGAUAGUUGGGGAUAAUGACUGCCAAUAUAAGAAGGAUCAUGUGUUGCCCCAAGAACCCCAGUAGCACCAGACAAUGUUUGCAGCCUAAUUUUCAGCAAAUGAAGUCAAAGAGGGAUCAAAUGCCGGUUUAGAUCAAAGAAUAAGAUAACACGAUCCAACCAUAGUAAAAUGGAUGUAACUAGAAUUGCUGGCUACUGAUUAAGAGCUCAAGCAUAUUACAUGCUCUGAUUAAGCAUGUUCAACCAAUCUUAACAGCGAAUUCGAGGAUCCUACAAAAUGGAAUCAGACUAAUUUUGCCAGUAACUACCAUGUGAUCAACCAGUUCAGUACCAUGAUGUUCUUCCUAGGAACCCAUGGUUGUCAUAUUCAUCUAUUCUGUGAUAGCAUAUGACAGGAACGUACAGUAUCCGUGGAUACCAUGCCCAACACAGACAGGCCUUCAGCACGCCAUGGAUAAGUAUUGUCUGUAUGUCCGAUAAUUUUUCUACAGGAAAAAAAUCCAUUUAUGGCAUGGCAUGGACAAGUAGUGUAGGACUGUUGAGAGUUGAGACAUAGGUUGGCCCAAAUGACUCGUCUAUGGCUUGUAUCGCGUUUGGCAAUAUGCCUUGGCGUCCUUUUUUUCUUCUUCUUUUUGCCGAUUUUAUUGUAUUUGAAAUAAUUCGGUUGUAUUCAUCCUUAGCUGGCGCAGAGGCUGGGGGUAAUGAAGCUUCCAUUUUCUAAAAAAAACAGCUUCGCCCAAAUAAUAGUACUAACAAGAUAACAAGUUUCUGAACCCUGCAGAGUGCACCACAACUAAUCAGAAAUAUCUGUGGUACUCAUGAAGAAGUUAGCUAAAUGGAGUUUGCAGCUUCAAUAUCAAGAUACCAAUCAGAAAAAUGAAGCAAUACUUCUUCCGAAAGAUCUAUAUGAAAAUUGAAUCCCACAUACCAAGUAAUUUGAUUAAGCUCAGAAUUGUCACUGGGUUGAUGAGCCAAAAGUCCUGGGAAAGCCAUACCAGUGCAUGGGAUAUCAGGUCCCCUAGGAUGCUGCUCACCAAACUUCAUAACUGCCGAGGAAAUGGAGUUGAAAGUUAGGGUAGCAGAGAAUGUGCAGGACCAGAGCCUCAAGCAUGCACACAUUUCAGAAGAAAAGGACAGGUACAAUAUAUAUGUUUUCUUAUGUUCUCUUUUUACGUCUAAAAUAAGACAAAAUUUACGGAAAGUAAAAUUACGGUGCAUUAAUGUUGAAACAGAGGGGGGUGAAGAAUAACUAUUCCUCGCCCAGGGUGACGAAUAGUCAAUCCCUAUAUAUUAGCAUAACACCAACCAAGAAUUGGUAUGAACCAGCAAGGCUACAACUCUGCAAAUAAAAUGAUACCUAGACCUAAUCCUUAUUCUGGAAUGACCACAGAGUAGUAUUUCCUAAAGUUCUCUAGAAGCUAGGCUACGGUUGAAACUUGGCCCAUACGCACUUCUGGAUCUCCAAAUCGUAAAGAAGGAACUAUUUGAGUUAUCAAAUUCAUGCUAGAAUAUUUAAAACCUGUUGAAAUCAAAUCUCGUUGCCAUUUCCCCACUUUGUGAAGUGCAUGACUGCAUGAAAGUUUCUGUGCCAAGUCAGAACAAACCUUAAAUGGUUGGGCUGCUCUACUUUUUUUACGGGGUGGCUGGACUGCUCUACUGGUUGCGAUUUUAUAAUUAAAUUCAUAUAUGUCAUGUAUCCCAACUAACAAUACAUACCUUUUUUUUAUUUUUGAGGGGAACUGACAAUACAUACCUGGCAAUACUGCUGGAGUGCCAAGAGUAAGGUCCUUUGCUCCCGUAACAUCAAGAGCAUGACCACCACCACAAGGGAAAGAGCCACUCACUGCUUCUACCUUAUCAUUUUGCACUAUUAUAACAGACGGUGCUAAAGAAUUGUUUGACCCAGGAGGGGGACUGGUCUCUGCAUCUUCAGUUGAACUUAUCAGUGUAUUUUGUGGAUGAGACUGAAUUUUGCUGGCACUGGCAAUGUUUUGAUGGAAUAUCUGAGCAGAAAGUUUGUUCUUUGUGGGGACACCAAUGUUCAAACCACUUCCUUGAUCCCUGGAUUCUGAAUAUUGGCUAUUUGAUGUUGAUACAGUUGAAUGAGAACCAAGGUUAGGCAUGCCUUUUACCAUACUAAGAGAACCAGCAGUAUUUCCAUGCUCACCAGAAGGAGCAAACGCCUUCAGUCCAAAACUGGGACGAGAUUGAGGUUUCAGAGAACUAUGUGCCAUUCGAACGGAGGAUGAGAAGAGCUUACUUAAAAUGUCAGGUCGUGCUUUCCUUCUUUCUACAAAGGGGGGUUCUUGCUUCGACGAAAACUCUUGUUCAUUCUGCAAACUUAAAGUUCGAUGUGAGUUCUUUCCCACACCUAUAUCAGAACAGCCCUCCUCAUUCUGUGAUCUGGAAUAUGUCCUAUGAAGGAUAGGCAACAACAUAGUUAAUGCUAAAUUCAGCUAGCAAUCUCUAAGAAGUGGGGAAUGGAUUCACACUUUACCUAUUGUUUUGCACUGAAGAGGUUUGCAAAGUAUUCUUCCAGGUAGGUUGGUAGGGCCUUGAUGGUUUCCCUCUGUUAACAUUUGGUGCAUUGUUGUAACCUUUAGCAUUCACAUAACAGAUUCGAGAUUCUGUCCGAGCAUUAUAAAAGUUCUGCUCAUCAUAGUACGAAUGGGAUUUUCCUGGAACACUUCUGUAGUUCUUGGCGCUGUAAUAGGAAAUGUUGGCCUCUUUUGGGAAUCUAUUGUAGUUGUUGGUACUCCCAUACUUGUAGUCUGCUCUGUAAUCAUGAUAAUAGGAUGCGGAUUUGGUUCUUUCUAGAGAACCAUGGUUAAUGUCAUGAGUUCUACCACCAGCCCAUGCUCUAAAAGGACUUCUUGGCCUCCUUAUCUAAACAAAGCAAAGAAAAUCAACUAAGUCAGUAAGAACACUACAUAAUAGAUAGGGGGAAAGGCGUGAUACACACACUGUCAUGUUGAACAUAACGGGUAUUGAUCUCAUCAGACUGAUCGUGGUUAACGUCAUGAGUUCUACCACCAGCCCAUGCUCUAAAAGGACUUCUUGGCCUCCUUGUCUAAACAAAGCAAAGCAAAUCAGCGAAGUCAGUAAGAACACUACAUAAUAGAUAGGGGGAAAGGCGUGAUACACACACUGUCAUGUUUAACAUAACGGGUAUUGAUCUCAUCAAACCGAUCAUGGUUAACGUCAUGAGUUCUACCACCAGCCCAUGCUCUAAAAGGACUUCUUGGCCUCCUUGUCUAAACAAAGCAAAUCAAAUCAACAGAGUCAGUAAGAAUACUACUCCCUCCGUAAACUAAUAUAGUUUACAGAGGGAGUAGUACAUAAUAGAUAGGGGGGAAAGGCGUGAUACACACACUGUCAUGCUGAACACCAUGGGUAUUGAUCUCAUCAAACCGAUCAUGCAGCCAUACGCUAUCAUCUUUAAAAUUCCAUAACUUUUGGCCACCGAAAAAGUCCCUGAAUUAAUAACAUGGAUAUAUCAGGCAGACACUAUGGGCUAAAAUUUGCAGUGAAUACAGAUGGAAAAAAUUAUAGAGAAGGGAGCCAACUUCAAACUCUACCAAUCUCUAGAAGUUGUGCCAAGCAGUCAAUGACAGUGAGUAACAAAAUGCAGUUAGGUAGCAGUUUAUCUGUUUAAGCUCUUACAACAAACAGCACUUGUACAAGUUCCAUCUAGACAGUGUUACACGAUGUUUCCUUUGAAUGCCCGAUCUUAUCAUACAAUCUCCAACCGUGGAACAGUUGACUCACUCUAAGCAUGUAGGUGCUCCUACCAAGGCACCCAUUUUUCAUGUGGGGGGCUUAAAUUUGAUCGACAAUCCUUGCUGCAACUAAAAUGCGAUGCACAUGCUUUCAGAGUUCAGACUAGCUUGUACAGUCAGAGAGGCAUACUACAGAGCCUCGGGUGAAUAACAGAAGAGGAAGCAACCAGUGAAAGACGGAAAGGCUCGAACCUCUGGCGCCCGCGGCCGCGGUUUUCCUUGUUCUGGAAGCGAUCAUCGUGCAUGUAGAAGGCACCUGUUCUCGGCACGGCGUCGGGCUCGAACCCCUUAUUCUCCUUGUCAUCUUCUUUCAGUUCGGCUCCAGUCUCAGCCUGGGCCUCCUCCUCCUCGUACCUCCCCUCGUCCUCCGGCGCCGCAGCCACCUCAUCCGGCGCCACUUCCUCGGCCUCUCCACCACCCCCAGAUCCUGCGUCGAACUCCUUGCGAACCUCCUCGCAUUCCUCAGAACCCUCGUCUUCGCCGUACACCUCGGCCGCGCCCAGCUCGUCGGAGUCGGAAUCGGAAUCGGACCCGACCACCCUCGACGGCGACGAGGAACCACUCCCCUCGCCUCCGCCGCCGCCGCCCUCGUCCUCCUCCUCGUCGUCGUCGCUCGCCGCCGCGCGACGCCUCAACGCCGGGAGGGGCGAGUCGUCGGCGUCGCUCACGUCCUCCUUCUCGUCCCCCUCCGCCGUCGCCGCCUUCUCCUCUUCAGCCAUAGAGGCCGCCGCGCCAAUUCGGGCGAGAAUGCUAGGGUUUAAGCUAGGGUUUGAGGGAAUCCGGAAGGUUCGAGAGGCUUCUCGACCUCGCGUGGAAAGCUGUUCUGUUUUUUGGCGGACUGGCUUGAUUUGAUCACCUUUUCUGAUCGAUCAGCUUCUCUGCCGUGAGGGGAAAGAGAAGAAGGGCAUUCAUUAGCUGGAGCCACUAUGCAAAACCACUGGGAGGUCCAGCUAAAAAACAAUUUAGGGAUGUUGAGGCGCCGACAAGUGGGCCACAGUAAUGAGAUUUGUAGGUGGACCCUGUUGGCCCCACCUGUCAUCACUCGUCCUUGUUUUAGUACUUCAUACUUUUUACUCUGCAUAUUAAAAUUCUCUGAAGUCAAACUUCACAAAAUUUGACCGUAUUUAUAUGAAAAAAUGUCAACAUCUGUCAUGCUAAAGUUAUAUAAUAUGAAACUUUAACUCAUGACAUAUCUAGUGGUAUUGAUUUCAGAUUGUGAAUGUUGGGACUUUUUUCUAUAAAGUUGGUCAAACUUUACGAGGCUUGACUUUAGUCAAAUCUUAUAUGCGAACUAAAAGGUUGGUCAAACUUUACUAAAAAGGAUCCAUUGUGAAUGUUGGCAUUUUUUUCUAUAUGCGAACUAAAAUAUGCGAACUAAUGACAGUACUAGAAGGGUAUGCGUGCCUUGCCGCACCGUUUUCUCUAACCAUUAGAUAAUGAUGACGAUACCAUUCAAACAAAAAUUCUUUGAAUCGGACUGCAUGAAGCCAAUUCAAAAUCCCAAAUGACAGUGCGGGGAAGAAUAGAGUUUGAUAUGUUUAUCCAUGUUGUCCUAAUUGAUUUCAAUUCUUGAAACACCAUCCUGAUCCAUUGCCUUAUUCGUAUUAGUGGAUUACAGUGGAGUUUUUCCGCGUGUUCUAUUUGCAAAUUUGUGUCUUCCUGAAACAUCCAAAAAAUAACAAAUAAGCAAGGUAAAUUAAAUUGCAAUACUGAGGUGAUGAAUAUGAGUCUUGCUAAACCAUGAAUUCUAGUUUGCCAUGACCGAAAUACUUUGAAAUGUACAAUUAAGUGUUGUUGAAAGUGAAGAAGGAAAUGCAGAGUUUAGAGUAAUAUAAUAUAUUUAUUCAGCCAAAUACAUGCAAAUUCCAUAUAUCACAAAAAUAGGUGCAUUUUGUCCUACAACUAAAGUUUAGCAUCAUAAACACUGAAGGUUGAAACCUGCACAAAACACUUUUAGUAAUAAUACCACAAGUUACCGACUGAAGCUGCAAGUUGGGCUGCAUUAUUCACUAUAGAUAGUUUAUUUGCACAAGCAAUGCUACAAUCUAGUCAAUACUUACGUAGUUGAAGUGUAACAAUGAAAGAAUCGAGAAGAGGUGUCUAGAGGGGGUGAUUAGACUACUUGACCAAAUAAAAAUCUAGCAUUUUCCCAAUUUUAAGUCUUGGCAGAUUUUAGCAACUUAGCACUAGUUAAGCAAUCAACCUACACAUGCAAGUCUAAGAGUAUAGCAGCGGAAUGUAAAACAUUGCACAUGAAGGUAAAGGGAGGAGUUUGGAGGGAGCAAACGCAAUGUAGACACAGAGAUUUUGGCGUGGUUCCGAUAGGUGGUGCUAUCGUACAUCCACGUUGGUGGAGAUUUCAACCCACGAAGGGUAACGGUUGCGCGAGUCCACGGAGGGCUCCACCCACGAAGGGUCCACGAAGAAGCAACCUUGUCUAUCCCACCAUGGCCAUCACCCAUGAAGGACUUGCCUCACUAGGGUAGAUCUUCACGAAGUAGGCGAUCUCCUUGCCUGUACAAACUCCUUGGUUAAACUCCACAAUUUUGACAGAGGCUCCCAAGUGACACCUAAUCAAUCUAGGAGACACCACUCUCCAAAAGGUAAUAGACGGUGUGUUGAUGAUCAACUCCUUGCUCUUGUGCUUCAAAUGACAGUCUCCCCAACACUCAACUUCUCUCUCACUGAUUUGGAUUUGGUGGAAAGAAGAUUUGACUGGAAAGCAACUUGGAGAAGGCUAGAGAUCAAGAUUCAUAUGGUUGGAAUGGAAUAUCUUGGUCUCAACACAUGAGUAGGUGGUUCUCUCUUAGAAAAUGAAUGUUGGAAGUGUAGGCAUGUUCUGAUGUCUCUCCUCAUGAAUGAAGAGUGGGUGGAGGGGUAUAUAUAGCCUCCACAUAAAAUCUAACCGUUACACACAAAUCACCAAACUCGGUGGGACCGAAUAAUGAAACUCGGUCAGACCGAUUUAGUUCAAAAUGUGAACGUUAGGAUUUUCAGUGGGACCGAUAUGAUCAACUCGGUGGAGCCGAUGUGCUAAGGUUAGGGUAAAACCUCAUCUCGGUUUGACCGAUUACACAAACUCGGUGAGACCGAUUUUGGUAAUAGGCAGAACAGAGAGUUGGUCAAGCAAACUCGUUGGGACUGAUUGCUUAUCUCGGUGGGAUCGAAAUAAUUGCAACAUGCAAUAGAGAGUUUGCAAGCCCAUCUCGGUGAGACCGAGAUCCCAUCGAUGAGACCGAAUUGAUUUAGGGUUUCUGGUAGUGGCUAUGUCAAGUGAACUCGGUGACGCCGGAUAGAGUGUUUCGGUGGUGCCGAGUUUGGUUUUUGGUUUGGGACAUAUGUGGAUAUGAGAAAGUGGUUGAGGGAUUUUGGAGCAUAUCACUAAGCACUUAGAGCAAGAAAGCCAUUAAGCGACACCUCAUCCUCUUUUAAUAGUAUUGGCUUUCCUAAGGACUCAAUGUAAUCUUGGAUCAUUAAACUGAAAAUGUAGAGCCUUGAGCUUUUGAGCUUGAACCAAUCCUUUGUCCUUAGCAUCUUGAAGGGGUUCCACAUCCUCUUGCCCGUGCCACUCCAUCUGUUGAACUUAUCUGAAAUAUACUAGAUAAAAACAUUAGUCCAAUAAGAGAUAUGUUGACAUUAAUUACCAAAACCACCCAGGGAGCACUUGUGCUUUCAAUCUCCCCCUUUUUGGUAAUUGAUGACAACAUACAUCAAAGCUUUAGAUAGAGAUAUAUAAAGAAUAGCAGGUAAGGCUUUUUAAAGACAUGUAACAUGCAUAGGCUCCCCCUACAUGUAUGCAUCCAUGAAACUAUGGAAUAUGGGAGCAUGUGAAUGCAUAAUUAUGAUAGAGCAAGCAGUUAGUUACAUGUAUAUUGGCUAUAUGCAUCAGAGCAAAUGAUGUGGAUAUGGGAAUUGUACCUUCAUGUUCAUGAGUCCUUCUUGUAAACAAUAUGUACAUCAGUAAGAGAUCAUCAUGCACAUGGGUGAGAUGCAUAUACUUACCUUGUGGUCUUAAGUUGGCUUAAGAAGAGAUGAACCUGAGUAAACAAGGUUAGAUAACACAGAUAUCUACUAACCAGAGCAAACCAAAGAGCCACAAGAGUACCAAGACUGAGAUGACAUGUAGAGAAUGAGUACCAGGUACUCCCAUUGGAUAUAGACAUGUCCCCAAGGAAAAGAUAUGCAAUGAAUUCAAGAUUUCUUUCCCUUAGAUGUCUUUCUCCCCCUGAAUCUUAUGUUUGAUAAUGGGAGAAUAUAGGAACAGAAAAUUAGAGCAAAACAAAUAAUAAACUGACAUGUCUUUCCCCUUUAAAGACAUGUGACUUCUCGAAUACCAAGCAUCCGGGGUCUCUCUCUCUCUCUCUCUCUCUCUCUCUCUCUCUCUGUGUGUGUGUGUGUUUGAUAUGAUUAAGUACUCUCCCCCUUUGAAGCACUCUCCCCCUUUUUAAGGGAAUAAGCUUUGAUGUGAGCUCUCUCUCCCCCUUCGACAUCAAUUUGCAAGAAGGGAUCUUCUGGAUUGUGAGUCAAAAUAGGUUUGGUCCUUGAGCCACAGAGCAAAGCAACUUAUAAAGUGUGAUGCUGGUAGAGAACAAUCAUCGAGUGGAGCUAGAUCAAUUAUGCAGGAUGCAAGUUGUAAAUUGUCUUCUCAGCGUUGAAAUCGGUUACACCGAGUUGUUUCCUUCGGUGGCACCGAAUUGGUUCGGUUUGACCAAAAAGACAAACCGGUGUGUCCGAGUUCAACACAGAGAAAGAACAAUUUUCAUCUUAGCUCACUAGGCAAAUAAGAUCUCACAAAGAUUUACAAUGAAUUGGAUGAUGUGAAUGUAGAACAAAACAAAGAAAAAGACAUCUAGAUGAGGGGAAACAAAUAUGCAAGAGACAAAUGCAAGAAUACAUAGAAAUGAAGGAAAUAUGCCCUAGAGGUAAUAAUAAAUUUGUCAUUUAUAUUUCCUUAUAUCAUGAUAAAUGUUUAUUACUCAUGCUAGAAUUGUAUUAACCGGAAACUUAGUACAUGUGUGAAUACAUAGACAAACAGAGUGUCCCUAGUUUGCCUCUAAUAGACUAGCUCGUUAAUCAAAGAUGGUUAAGUUUCCUAGCCAUAGACAUGUGUUGUCAUUUGAUGAACGGGAUCACAUCAUUAGAGAAUGAUGUGAUGGACAAGACCCAUCCGUUAGCUUAGCACUAUGAUCGUUUAGUUUAUUACUAUUGCUUUCUUCAUGACUUAUACCUGUUCAUAUGACUAUGAGAUUAUGCAACUCCCGAAUACCGGAGGAACACUUAGUGUGCUAUCAAACGUCACAACGUAACUAGGUGACUAUAAAGAUGCUCUACAGGUGUCUCCUAUGGUGUUUGUUGACUAGGCAUAGAUCGAGAUUAGGAUUUGUCACUCCGAUUAUUGGAGAGGUAUCUCUAGGCCCUCUCGGUAAUGCACAUCACUAUAAGCCUUGCAAGCAAUGUGACUAAUGAGUUAGUUGCGGGAUAAUGCAUUACGGAACGAGUAAAGAGACUUGCCGGUAACGAGGUAUGAGGAUACCGGCGAUCGAAUCUCGGGCAAGUAACAUACUGAUGACAAAGGGAACAAUGUAUGUUGUUAUGCGGUUUGACCGAUAAAGAUCUUCGUAGAAUACGUAGGAGCCAAUAUGAGCAUCCAGGUUCCGCUAUUGGUUAUUGACAGGAGAUGUGUCUCGGUCAUGUCUACAUAGUUCUCGAACCCGUAAGGUCCGCACGCUUAACGUUCGAUGAUGAUUUGUAUUAUGAGUUAUGUGAUUUGAUGUACCGAAGGUUGUUCGGAGCCCCGGAUGAGAUCACGAACAUGACGAGGAGUCUCAAAAUGAUCGAGACCUAAAGAUCGAUAUAUUGGAAGGCUAUAUUCGGACAUCGGAAAGGUUCCGAGUGAUUCGGGUAUUUUUCGGAGUAACGGAGAGUUACGGGAAUUCGUCGGAGGAAGCAGUGGGCCUUGAUGGGCCAUACGGGAAAGGAGAGAAGGGCCUCAAGGGGUGGCCGUCCCCCAUGGGCUGGUCAGAAUUGGACUAGGAGGGGGUGGCGCCCCCUCCCUUUCCUUGUCCCUCUCUCCCUCUCCUUCCUUCCCCCUCUCUUCCCUUGUUGGAAACCUACUAGGAAUAGGAUUCCUAUUCCUAGUAGGAAUCCUACUUGGGGCGCGCCCCAUGAGGGCCGGCCGGCCUCCCCCUUGCUCCUUUAUAUACAGGCAGGGGGCACCCUAGAACACACAAGUUGAUUGUUUAGCCGUGUGCAGUGCCCCCCUCCACAAAUUUUCACCUCGGUCAUAUCGUUGUAGAGCUUAGGCGAAGCCCUGCGUCGGUAACUUCAUCAUCACCGUCAUCAUGCUGUCGUGCUGACGAAACUCUCCCUCGACCUCAGGUGGAUGUAGAGUUCGUGGGACGUCACCGAGCUGAACGUGUGCAGAUUGCGGAGGUGCCGUACCUUCGGUGCUAGGAUCGGUCAGAUCGUGAAGACGUACGACUACAUCAACCGCGUUGUCAUAAUGCUUUCGCUUACGGUCUACGAGGGUACAUAGACAACACUCUUCCCCUCUCGUUGCUAUGCAUCACCUAGAUAGAUCUUGCGUGUGCGUAGGAAUUUUUUGAAAUUACUGCGUUCCCCAACAGUGGCAUCCAAGCCAGGUCUAUGCAUAGAUGUUAUAUGCACGAGUAGAACACAAAGGAGUUGUGGACGUGGGUAUAUACAUAUUGCUUGCCGUCACUAGUUGAUUCUUGAUUCAGCGGUAUUGUUGGAUGAAGCGGCUCAGACCGACAUUACGCAUACGCUUACGCGAGACUGGUUAUACCUAUGUGCUUCGCACACAUGUGCCUGGUGGGUGUCAGUUUCUCCAACUUUAGUUGAAUCGGAUUCAAUGAACAGGGUUCUUUCUGAAGAUCAAAAAGCAAUCACUAUACCGCGUUGUGGUUUUUGAUGCAUAGGUAAGAACGGUUCUUGCUCAGCCCGUAGCAGCCACAUAAAACUUGCAACAAUAAAGUAGAGGACGUCUAACUUGUUUUUGUAGGGCAUGCUGUGAUGUGAUAUGGUCAAGGCAUGGUGCUAAAUUUUAUUGUAUGAGAUGACCUUGUUUUGUAACAGAGUUAUCAGCAACUGGCAGGAGCCAUAUGGUUGUUGCUUUAUUGUAUGAAAUGCAAUUGCCAUGUAAUUGCUUUACUUUAUCACUAAGCGGUAGCGAUAGUCAUGGAAGCAAUAGUUGGCGAGACGACGACGAUGCUUCGAUGGAGGUCAAGGUGUCAAGCCGGUGACAAUGGUGAUCAUGGCGGUGCUUUGGAGAUGGAGAUCAAAGGCACAAGGUGAUGAUGGCCAUAUCAUAUCACUUAUAUUGAUUGCAUGCGAUGUUUAUCCUUUAUGCAUCUUAUUUUGCUUAGUUUGACGGUAGCAUUAUAAGAUGAUCUCUCACUAAAUUUCAAGGUAUAAGUGUUCUCCCUGAGUAUGCACCGUUGCUACAGUUCGUCGUGCCAAGACACCACAUGAUGAUCGGGUGUGAUAAGAUCUACGUUCACAUACAACGGGUGCAAGCCAGUUUUGCACACGCAGAAUACUCAGGUUAAACUUGACGAGCCUAGCAUAUGCAGAUAUGGCCUCGGAACAUUGAGACCGAAAGGUCGAGCAUGAAUCAUAUAGUAGAUAUGAUCAACAUAGUGAUGUUCAUCAUUGAAUUCAUCACACGUGAUGAUCGGACAUGGUUUAGUUGAUAUGGAUCACGUGAUCACUUAGAUGAUUAGAGGGAUGUCUAUCUAAGUGAGAGUUCUUAAGUAAUAUGAUUAAUUGAACUUAAAUUUAUCAUGAACUUAGUCCUGAUAGUAUUUGCAUAUCUAUGUUGUAGAUCAAUUGCUCGCGUAUAGCUUCCCCGUUUUAUUUAUGAUAUGUUCCUAGAGAAAACUAUGUUGAAAGAUGUUAGUAGCAAUGAUGCAGACUAGCUCUGUGAUCUAAGGAUUAUCCUCAUUGCUGCAUAGAAUAAUUAUGUCCUUGAUGCACCGCUAGUUGACGGACCUAUUGCAGGAGCAGAUGCAGACGUUAUGAACGUUUGGCAAGCUCGAUAUGAUGACUACUUGAUAGUUUAGUGCACCAUGAUUUACGGCUUAGAACCGGGACUUCAAAAACGUUUUGAACGCCAUGGAGCAUAUAAGAUGUUCCAAGAGCUGAAAUUGGUAUUUCAGACUCAUGCCCGAGUCGAGAGGUAUGAGGCCUCCGACAAGUACUUUGCCUACAAGAUGGAGGAGAAUAGCUCAGCUAGUGAGCAUGUGCUCAGAAUGUCUGAGUAAUACAGUCACUUGAAUCAAGUGGGAGUUAAUCUUCCAGAUAAGAUAGUGAUUGACAUAGUUCUCUAGUCACUAUCACCAAGUUACUAGAACUUCGUGAUGAACUAUAAUAUCCAAGGGAUACCGGAAAUGAUUCCCAAGCUCUUCGCGAUGCUGAAAUUGGCGAAGGUAGAAAUCAAGAAAAGCAUCAAGCGUUGAUGGUUGACAAGACCACUAGUUUCAAGUAAAAUGGCAAGGGAAAGAAAGGGAACUUCAAGAAGAAUGGCAAGAAAGUUGCCACUCCCGUGAAGAAGCCCAAAGCUAGACCUAAGCCUGAAACUGAGUGCUUCUACUGCAAAGAGAAUGGUCACUAGAAGCAGAACUACCCCAAAUACUUGGCGGAUAAGAAGGAUGGCAAAGUGAACAAAAGUAUAUUUGAUAUACAUGUUAUUGAUGUGUACUUUACUAGUGUUCAUAGUGACCCCAGGGUAUUUGAUACCAGUUCAAUUGCUAAGAUUAGUAACUCGAAACAGGAGUUGCAAAAUGAAUAGAGACUAGUUAAGGGCAAGGUGACGAUGUGUGUUGGAAAUGAUUCCAAGGUUGAUAAGAUCACCAUCGCACACUCCUUUUACCUUCGGGAUUAGUGUUGAACCUAAAAUAAAUGUUAUUUGGUGUUUGCGUUGAGCAUGAAUAUGAUUGGAUCAUGUUUAUUGCAAUACGGUUAUUCAUUUAAGUCAAAGAAUAAUUAUUGUUUUGUUUACAUGAAUAAAACCUUCUAUGGUCAUACACUUAAUAUAAAUGGUUUAUUGAAUCUCGAUCAUAGUGAUACACAUAUUCAUAAUAUUGAUGCCAAAAGAUGCAAAGUUGAUAAUGAUAGUGCAACAUACUCGUGGCACUACUGUUUAGGUCAUAUUGGUGUAAAGCGCAUGAAGAAACUCCAUGCUGAUGGACGUUUGGAAUCACUUGAUUAUGAAUCACUUGAUGCUUGCGAACCAUGCCUCAUGGGCUAGAUGACUAAGACUCCAUUCUUCGGAACACUAGAGUGAUACGUCCAUUUUGCAUCAUGCUUUUAUAUUGAUAUUACAUUAUGGGCUGUUAUUACACAUUAUGUCACAAUACUUAUGCCUAUUCUCUCUUAUUUUACAAGGUUUACAUGAAGAGGGAGAAUGCUGACAGCUAGAAUUCUGGGCUGGAAAAGGAGCAUAUAUUAGAGGCCUAUUCUGCACAACUCCAAAAGUCCUGAAACUUCAAGGGGGCACGUUUCAGAAUAUAAAAAAAUAUAUUGGGCAAUAGAAGUACCAGAGGGGGCCACCCACCGUCCACGAGGGUGGGGGGCGCGCCCCCUGCCUCAUGGGUCCCCUGGUGGCCCUCUGAUGCCCAUCUUUUGCUAUAUGGAGUCUUUCAUUGAGGAAAAAUCAUAAGCAAGCUCAUAGGACGAAACUCCGCCGCCACGAGGCAGAACCAAUCUAGGGCUCCGGCGGAGCUGUUCUGUCGGGGAAACUUCCCUCUGGGAGGGGGAAAUCAUCAUCAUCGUCAUCACCAACGAUCCUCUCGUCAGGAGGGGGUCAAUCUCCAUCAACAUCUUCACCAGCACCAUCUCAUCUCAAACCCUAGUUCAUCUCUUAUAUUCAAUCUUUGUCCCAAAGCCUCAGAUUGGUACCUAUGGGUUGCUAGUAGUGUUGCUUACUCCUUGUAGUUGAUGCUAGUUGGUUUACUUGGUGCAAGAUCAUAUGUUUAGAUCCAUUAUGCAUAUUAAUACCCCUCUGAUUAUGAACAUGAAUAUGCUUUGUGAGUAGUGACGUUUGUUCUUGAGGACACGGGAGAAGUCUUGCCAUAAGUAGUCAUGUGAAUUUGGUAUCCGUUCGAUAUUUUGAUGAGAUGUAUGUUGUCUCUCCUCUAGUAGUGUCAUGUGAACAUCAACUACAUGACACUUCACCAUUGUUUGGGCCUAGAGGAAGGCAUUGGGAAGUAAUAAUUAGAUGACGGGUUGCUAGAGUGACAGAAGCUUAAACCCUAGUUUAUGUGUUGCUUCGUAAGGGGCUGAUUUGGAUCCAUAUGUUUCAUGCUAUGGUCAGGUUUACCUUAAUACUUCUGUUGUAGUUGCGGAUGCUUGCAAUAGGGGUUAAUCAUAAGUGGGAUGCUUGUCCAAGGAAGGACAGUACCCAAGCACCAGUCCACCCACAUAUCAAAUUAUCAAAGUACCGAAUGCGAAUCAUAUGAACGUGAUGAAAACUAGCUUGACGAUGAUUCCCAUGUGUCCUCGGGAGCGCUUUCCUUUAUAUAAGAGUUUGUCCAGGCUUGUCCUUUGCUACAAAAAGGAUUGGGCCAUCUUGCUGCACCUUAUUUACUUUUACUAUUUGUUACCCAUUACCAAUUACCUUAUCACAAAACUAUCUGUUGCUGAUAAUUUCAGUGCUUGUAGAAAAUACCUUGCUGAAAACCACUUAUCAUUUCCUUCUGCUCCUUGUUGGGUUCGACACUCUUACUUAUCGAAAAGGCUACGAUAGAUCCCCUACACUUGUGGGUCAUCAAGACUCUUUUCUGGCGCCGUUGCCAGGGAGUGAAGCGCCUUUGGUAGGUGGAAUUUGGUAAGGAAAAAUUUAUAUAGUGUGCUGAAAUUUACUAUCACUUGUUACUAUGGAACAUAAUCCUUUGAGGGGCUUGUUCGGGGUAUCUUCACCCUGACCGGUAGAGCAAAGAGUUGCUCCUCAACCUAUUGAACCUACUGAAAAUGUUUACUUUGAAAUUCCUUCGGGUAUGAUAGAAAAACUGCUAGCUAAUACUUUCACAGGUGAUGGAACAUUACAUCCCGAUUUGCACCUAAUCUAUGUGGAUGAAGUUUGUGGAUUAUUUAAGCUUGCAGGUAUGCCCGAGGAUGGUAUCAAGAAGAAGGUCUUCCCUUUAUCUUUGAAGGGAGAGGCAUUGACAUGGUUUAGGCUAUGUGAUGACAUGGGAUCAUGGAACUACAACCGAUUGAAAUUAGAAUUUCAUCAGAAGUUUUAUCCUAUGCAUCUUGUUCAUCAUGAUCGUAAUUAUAUAUAAUUUUUGGCCUCGCGAAGGAGAAGCAUCGCUCAAGCUUGGGGGAGGAUUAAGUCAAUGUUAUAUUCAUGCCCCAAUCAUGAGCUCUCAAAAGAAAUGAUUAUUCAAAAUUUUUACGCUCGGCUUUCUCUCGGUAAUCGCUCCAUGCUCGAUACUUCUUGUACUGGAUCUUUUAUGAUGAAGACUAUUGAAUUCAAAUGGGAUUUAUUGGAAAGAAUUAAACGCAACUCUGAAGAUUGGGACCUCGAUGAAGGUAAUGAGUCAGGUAUAACACCUAAGUUUGAUCGUGUUAAAUCUUUUAUGGAUACCAAUGCUUUUCAUGAAUUUAGCAUUAAAUAUGGACUUGACUCUGAGAUAGUAGCUUCUUACUGUGAAUCAUUUGCUACUCAUGUUGAUCUCCCUAAGGAGAAGUGGUUUAAAUAUAAUCCUCCCAUUGAAGCAAAAGUAGUUGCACCUAUUAAAGUUGAAGAAAAGACUAUCACUUAUAAUGAUCCUGUUGUUCCUACUACUUAUAUUGAGAAACCACCUUUCCGUGUUAGAAUAAAGGAUCAUGCUAAAGCUUCAACUGUGGUCAAAAAAGUAAUAUUAAGACACCCAAACCCCCUGAGCAAAUGAAAGUUGAACCUAGUGUUGCUAUGGCUAAAGAUCUCUUGGCCGAUAAUAUUGAUGGGCAUGUUAUUUACUUCUAUGAUGAAGCUGCUAGAAUUGCUAGACCUGAUACUAAAAAUAAACAUGGACCAGUUGUAGGCAUGCCUGUUAUUUUUUUUAAAAAUAGGAGAUCAUUGCUAUCAUGGCUUAUGUGAUAUGGGUGCUAGUGCAAGUGCAAUACCUCAUUCCUUAUACAAAGAAAUUACGCAUGAUAUUACACUUGCUGAGAUAGAAGAGAUUGAUGUUACAAUUAAGCUUGCCAAUAGAGAUACAAUUUCACCAGUUGGGAUUGUUAGAGAUGUUGAAGUCUUGUGUGGGAAAGUUAAAUACACGGCUGAUUUUCUUGUUCUUGGUUCCCCACAAGAUAACUUUUGUCCCAUUAUAUUUGGUAGACCCUUCUUGAAUAUUGUUAAUGCUAAGAUAGACUGCAAUAAAGAUAUUGUUUCUGCUAGUUUAGGGGAUAUGUCUCAUGAAUUUUAAUUUUGCUAAAUUUCGUAGACAACCCCAUGAUAAAAAAAUUGCCUAGUAAAGAUGAAAUUAUUGGUCUUGCUUCUAUUGCCGUGCCUCCCAGUGAUCCUUUAGAACAAUAUUUGCUAGACCAUGAAAAUGAUAUGUUUAUGAAUGAAAGAAGGGAAAUAGAUGAAGUAUUCUUUAAAUAGGGACCUAUUUUGAAGCACAACUUGCCUGUUGAAAUCUUAGGGGAUCCUCCUCCACCUAAGGGUGAUCCCGUGUUUGAGCUUAAGCCUUUACCUGGUACUCUUAAAUAUGCUUAUCUUGAUGAGAAAGAGAUAUAUCCUAUUAUUAUUAGUGCUAACCUUUCAGAGCAUGAAGAAAAGAAAUUAUUGAAAACUCUGAAGAAGCAUCGUGCUGCUAUUGGAUAUACUCUUGAUGAUCUUAAGGGCAUUAGUCCCACUCUAUGCCAGCACAAAAUAAAACUGGAGAAAGAUGCUAAACCGGUUGUUGAUCACCAACGACGGCUAAAUCCUAAGAUGAAAGAAGUGGUAAGAAAAGAAAUAGUAAAGAUUCUGGAGGCAGGUAUAAUUUAUCCCGUUGCUGAUAGUCAGUGGGUAAGUCCUGUUCAUUGUGUCCCUAAGAAGGGAGGUAUUACUGUAGUUCCUAAUGAUAAAGAUGAAUUGAUUCCACAAAGAAUUGUUACAGGUUAUAGAAUGGUAAUUGAUUUCCGCAAAUUAAAUAAAGCCACUAAAAAGGAUCAUUACCCUUUACCUUUUAUUGAUCAGAUGCUAGAAAGAUUAUCCAAGCAUACACAUUUUUGCUUUCUAGAUGGUUAUUCUGGUUUCUCUCAAAUACAUGUGUCAAAAGAGGAUCAAGAAAAGACAACUUUUAGUUGCCCUUUCGGUACCUUUGCUUAUAGACGUAUGCCUUUUGGUUUAUGUAAUGACCUUUCAAAGAUGUAUGAUUGCUAUAUUCUCUGACUUUUGUUUAAAGAUUUUUGAGGUUUUCAUGGAUGAUCUCUCCGUUUACGGAACUUCUUUUGAUGAUUGCUUAAGCAACCUUGAUCGAGUUUUGCAGAGAUGUGAAGAAACUAAUCUUGUUUUGAAUUGGGAGAAGUGCCACUUUAUGGUUAAUGAAGGUAUUGUCUUGGGGCAUACAAUUUCUGAAAGAGUUAUUGAAGUUGAUAAAGCUAAAGUUGAUGUUAUUGAAAAGAUGUCGUGUCAUAAGGACAUUAAAGGUAUAAGAAGUUUUCUUGGUCAUGCCGGAUUUUAUAGGAGGUUCAUUAAGGACUUCUCUAAAAUUUCUCGGCCUCUGACUAAUCUCUUACAAAAAGAUGUUCCUUUUUGUCUUUGAUGAUGAUUGUGUAGAAGCAUUUGAAAUACUUAAGAAAGCUUUAGUUUCUGCACCUAUUGUUCAGCCUCCUGAUUGGAAUUUACCAUUUGAAAUUAUGUGUGAUGCUAGUGAUUAUGUUGUAGGGGUUGUUCUAGGACAAAGAGUUGAUAAGAAACUAAAUGUUAUUCAAUAUGCUAGUAAGACUCUAGACAAUGCUCAAAGAAACUAUGCUACUACUGAAAAAGAAUGUUUAACAGUUGUAUUUGCUUGUGAUAAGUUCAGACCUUAUAUUGUUGAUUCUAAAGUAACUAUUCACACUGAUCAUGCUGCUAUUAAAUAUCUUAUGGAAAAUAAAGAUGCUAAACCUAGGCUUAUUAGAUGAGUUCUCUUACUUCAAGAAUACGAUUUGUAUAUUAUUGAUAGAAAGGGAGCUGAGAACCCCGUUGCUGACAACUUGUCUAGGUUAGAGAAUGUUCUUGAUGACCCACUACCUAUUGAUGAUAGCUUUCUUGCUGAACAAUUAGCUGCCAUAAAUGCUUCUCGUACUGCUCCAUGGUAUGUUGAUUAUGCUAAUUACAUUGUUGCUAAAUUUAUACCACCUAGUUUCACAUACCAGCAAAAGAAAAUGUUUUUCUAUGAUUUAAGACAUUACUUCUGGGAUGAUCCACAUCUUUAUAAAGAAGGAGUAGAUGGUGUUAUUAGACAUUGUGUACCUGAGCAUGAACAGGAAUAGAUCCUACGCAAGUGUCACUCUGAGGCCUGUGGAGGACACCAUGCUGGAGAUAGAACUGCACAUAAGGUAUCGCAAUCCGGUUUUUAUUGGCCUACUCUCUUCAAGGAUGCCCGUAAGUUUGUCUUGUCUUGUGAUGAAUGUCAAAGAAUUGGUAAUAUUAGUAGACGCCAAGAAAUGCCUAUGAAUUAUUCACUUGUUAUUGAACCAUUCGAUGUUUGGGGCUUUGAUUAUAUGGGACCGUUUCCUUCCUCUAAUGGGCAUACUCAUAUUUUAGUUGCUGUUGAUUAUGUUACUACGUGGGUAGAAGCUAUUCCAACUAGUAGUGCCGAUCAUAACACCUCUAUUAAGAUGCUUAAAGAAGUUAUUUUUCCGAGGUUUGGAGUCCCUAGAUACUUAAUGACUGAUGGUGGUUCACAUUUUAUUCAUGGUGCUUUCCGUAAAAUGAUUGCUAAGUAUGACGUCAAUCAUAGAAUUGCAUCUCCUUAUCAUCCACGGUCUAGUGGUCAAGUAGAACUGAGCAAUAGAGAGCUUAAAUUAAUUUUGCAAAAGACUGUUAAUAGAUCUAGAAAGAAUUGGUCCAAGAAACUUGAUGAUGCAUUAUGGGCCUAUAGAACUGCAUAUAAAAAUCCUAUGGGUAAGUCUCCGUAUAAAAUGGUUUAUGGUAAAGCAUGUCACUUACCUCUUGAACUAGAACAUAAGGGAUAUUGGGCCAUUAAAGAGCUCAAUUAUGAUUUCAAACUUGCCGGUGAGAAGAGGCUUUUUGACAUUAGCUCACUUGAUGAAUGGAGAACCCAAGCUUAUGGAAAUGCCAAACUGUUUAUAGAAAAGGUUAAAAGAUGGCAUGAUAAAAGGAUACAAAAACGUGAGUUUAAUGUAGGUGAUUAUGUAUUAUUAUACAACUCUCGUUUAAGAUUCUUUGCAGGCAAACUCCUCUCUAAAUGGGAAGGUCCUUACAUCAUCGAGGAGGUCUACCAUUCCGGUGCCAUAAAAAUCAACAACUUCGAAGGCACAAAUCCGAGGGUGGUGAACGAUCAAAGAAUCAAACAUUACAUCUCAGGUAAUCCCAUAAAUGUUGAAACUAAUGUUAUUGAAACCGUAACCCCGGAGGAAUACAUAAGGGACACUUUCCAAAACGUUUCAGACUCCGAAAAGGAACAGGUACGGUAAGUAAACCGACUCCAAAAUAGUUCUAAUGGCAAUUUUUAUCCGUUUUGGAAUAUUUAAGAAAAUAGGAAAAUAAGAAGCAGUCCGGAAAGGACACGAGGCUUCCACAAGGGUGGAGGGCGCGCCCCCUGCCUCGUGGGCACCUCGUGUGCUCUCCGGACUCCGUUUUCUUGCACGAUACUUCUUUUUGUUGGUAAAAAAUCAUUAUAUAAUCUCCCGAAGGUUUUGACCAUCGUACGACGCAAAUAUCUUCUGUUUUGUUUUGAGUUGUUUUUCCUGACAGAUCUAGAUCACCAUGGAGUCUUCAAGUGCCCCCAAGGACAAGUUCUUCGUGAAGGUCGUCAACCCUUACCUCGCGGAGGUGCUGCAACACCCUCAAACCAUUGAGAUGCGUGAGGGGUUGCUGCACAUCCGCGAUGUUGAGGGACCAAGGAGGACCGGAAGCGUCGAGACAAGGCGCGAGGCAAUGGAGCAACAAGUUUUCAAGUGCCAGGAGAUGGUGGAACGUGGACUCGUCUCCAAUCAUAUAAUGAUCAUGGGGUUCACCAACAACCACAAGCUAGAUGACAAGAACAUUGGGGAGGCCAUCUUCAAGCUUCACAAGAAAAUCGAGCGCCUCCAAGCCCAGAUCUAUGACCUACAAAACCAAAACUGUGAGCAUGAAUAUAGAUUCAAGAGGAUGAGUUUGGCUGCAGAUUUGAGGAUCCCGGAGACUCGAUCAUCCUUCUAUGAUGGUGAGCCUAUGCCUUGGAAGAUGGACGGCAAGCCCACAUCAUCAACAACUCCAUCAUCACCACCUCCUAGGAAGGAGACAUAAACACAUGGGUAUGGGCCCUCCCCUUGGCAACUGCCAAGCUUGGGGGAGUGCCCCGGUAUCAUAUCACCAUCACACUUUUAUCUUUACCGUUAGUUCGAUCCUUUUGGUAAUAUCUUGAUCUAGUAGAAUAAAGUUUUAGUAUGAUCUAGUUUUGAGUUUUGCUUUAUGAUUCUUCUAUGUAAUCGAGUUUGUGAGCUUUAUAUAAUAAAGAUUUAGUGUUGAGUCAAGGGCUUGAUUGUCUUGCUAUGAUCUUGAGGGAAUAAAAUAAAAUAAAAUAAAAUAAAAGAGAAAGAAUAAAAAGAAAUAAAGAGAUCGUAUGGAUCCUAUGGAGAGUAAUGACUUCACAUACAAAGAGUAUGAUGAAUAAAAGUUGUUGAAAGUUGAUAAACAUAGUUUUGGCCAUCGUUGCAAUUAAUAGGAAGUAAUAAAGAAAGAGAGCUUUUCACAUAUAAAUAUACUAUCUUGGACAUCUUUUAUGAUUGUGAGUACUCAUUAAAAUAUGACAUGCUAAAGAGUUGACGUUGCACAAGGAAGACAACGUAACGGGUUAUGUUUUCUUACAUCUGAGAUAAAUUAUAUUGUCAUGGAUCAUCCAACAUGUUGAGCUUGCCUUUCCCUCUCAUGCUAACCAAAUUCUUUGCACCAAGUAGAGAUACUACUUGUGCUUCCAAAUAUUCUUAAACCCAGUUUUGCCAUGAGAGUCCACCAUAUCUACCUAUGGAUUGAGUAAGAUCCUUCAAGUAAGUUGUCAUCAUUGCAAGCAAUAAAAAUUGCUCUCUAAAUAUGUAUGAUUUAUUAGUGUGGAGAAAAUAAGCUUUAUACGAUCUUGUGAUGUGGAAGAAAUAAAAGCGACAGACUGCAUAAUAAAGGUCCAUAUCACAAGUGGCAAUAUAAAGUGACAUUAUUUUGCAUUAAGAUUUUGUGCAUCCAACCAUAAAAGCACAUGACAACCUCUGCUUCCCUCUGCGAAGGGCCUAUCUUUUAUUCUUGUCUUAUACUUCAUGCAAGAGUCAUGGUGAUCUUCACCUUUCCUUUUUACAUUUUAUCCUUUGGCAAGCACAAUGUGUUGGAAAGAUCCUGAUAUAUAUAGCUAAUUGGAUGUGAGUUUUCAUGAACUAUUAUUGUUGACAUUACCCUUGAGGUAAAAGGUUGGGAGGCAAAACUAUAAGCCCCUAUCUUUCUCUGUGUCCGAUUAAAACUUCAUAACCAUAAAUAUCGCGUGAGUGUUAGCAAUUGUGAAAGACUAAAUGAUGGUUGAGUAUGUGGACUUGCUGAAAAGCUCUUAUUGACUCUUUCUGAUGUUAUGAUAAAUUGCAAUUGCCUCAAUGACUGAGAUUAUAGUUUGUUGGUUCUCAAUGAAGUUUCUGAUUCAUACUUGAAAUUGUGAUUGAAUUGUUACUUUAGCAUAAGAGAUCAUAUGACAAUAUAUAUAUGUUGUUGUUCUAAGAAUGAUCAUGAUGCCCUCAUGUCCGUAUUUUAUUUUUAUCGACACCUCUAUCUCUAAACAUGUGGACAUAUUUUUCGAUUUUGGCUUUCGCUUGAGGACAAGCGAGGUCUAAGCUUGGCGGAGUUGAUACGUCCAUUUUGCAUCAUGCUUUUAUAUUGAUAUUUAUUGCAUUAUGGGCUGUUAUUACACAUUAUGUCACAAUACUUAUGCCUAUUCUCUCUUAUUUUACAAGGUUUACAUGAAGAGGGAGAAUGCCGACAGCCGGAAUUCUGGGUUGGAAAAGGAGCAAAUAUUAGAGACCUAUUCUGCACAACUCCAAAAAUCCUAAUUACAUUGUUGCUAAAUUUAUACCACCUAGUUUCACAUACCAGCAAAAGAAAAAGUUCUUCUAUGAUUUAAGACAUUACUUCUGGGAUGACCCACAUCUUUAUAAGUAAGGAGUAGAUGGUGUUAUUAGACGUUGUGUACCUGAGCAUGAACAGGAACAGAUCCUACACAAGUGUCACUCCGAAGCUUAUGGAGGACACCAUGCUAGAGAUAGAACUGCACAUAAGGUAUUGCAAUCCAGUUUUUAUUGGCCUACUCUCUUCAAGGAUGCCCGUAAGUUUGUCUUAUCUUGUGAUGAAUGUCAAAGAAUUGGUAAUAUUAGUAGACGUCAAGAAAUGCCUAUGAAUUAUUCGCUUGUUAUUGAACCAUUUGAUGUUUGGGGCUUUGAUUAUAUGGGACCUUUUCCUUCCUCUAAUGGGUAUACACAUAUUUUAGUUACUGUUGAUUACAUUACUAAGUGGGUAGAAUAUAUUCCAACUAGUAGUGCUGAUCAUAACACCUCUAUUAAGAUGCUUAAAGAAGUUAUUUUCCCGAGGUUUGGAGUCCCUGGAUAUUUAAUGACUGAUGGUGGUUCACAUUUCAUUCAUGGUGCUUUUCGUAAAAUGCUUGCUAAGUAUGAUGUUAAUCAUAGAAUUGCAUCUCCAUAUCAUCCACAGUCUAUUGGUCAAGUAGAACUUAGCAAUAGAGAGCUUAAAUUAAUUUUGCAGAAGACUGUCAAUAGAUCUAGAAAGAAUUGGUCCAAGAUACUUGAUGAUGCAUUAUGGGCCUACAUAACUGCAUAUAAAAAUCCUAUGGGUAUAUCUCCAUAUAAAAUGGUUUAUGGUAAAGCAUGUCACUUACCUCUUGAAUUAGAACAUAAGGCAUAUUGGGCUAUUAAAGAGCUCAACUAUGACUUCAAACUGGCCGGUGAGAAGAGGCUUUUUGACAUUAGCUCACUUGAUGAAUGGAGAACCCAGGCUUAUGAGAAUGCUAAACUGUUUAAAGAAAAAGUUAAAAGAUGGCUGUCGGUGUCAAAACCGACGGAUCUCGGGUAGGGGGUCCCAAACUAUGCGUCUAGGCCGGAUGGUAACAGGAGGCAAGGGACACGAAGUUUUACCCAGGUCCGGGCCCUCUUGAUGGAGGUAAAACCCUACGUCCCGCUUGAUUAAUAUUGAUGAUAUGGGUAAUACAAGAGUAGAUCUACCAUGAGAUCGAAGAGGCUAAACCCUAGAAGCUAGCCUAUGGUAUGAUUGUUGAUGUGUAUCUUGUCCUACGGACUAAAACCCUCCGGUUUAUAUAGACACCGGAUGGGGUUAGGGUUACAUAGAAUCGGUUACAAUGGUAGGAGAUCUACAUAUCCGUAUCGCCAAGCUUGCCUUCCACGCCAAGGAACGUCCCUCCCGGACACGGGACGAAGUCUUCAAUCUUGUAUCUUCAUAGUCCAACAGUCCGGCCAAAGGAUAUAGUUCGGCUAUCCGGACACCCCCUAAUCCAGGACUCCCUCAGUAGCCCCUAAACCAGGCUUCAAUGACGACGAGUCCGGCGUGCAGAUUGUCUUCGGCAUUGCAAGGAGGGUUCCUCCUCCAAGUACUUCAUAGAAGAUUUUGAACACAAAGAUAGUGUCCGGCUCUGCAAAAUAAGUUUCCACAUAUUGCCACAGAGAGAAUAAUAUUUACACCAAUCUAAUCUGCUGACGUAUUCCGUAGCGUGACACACCACGGCCAAGCUUUUAUUCGAACCGUUUUACUGUCCCAUCUCAGCGCGUUAUGCGAGGCGGUUUCCUUGGCACGUCUUGUUAAAGCAGAGAUCGUGUCCCCUUAUUCCGGGAUUCUCAUCAAUAUGGGUGUGGGUAACCCAACCGCGCCAUUGAUUAUGGCGCUAGGGAGGUAAGCGAGUUUUACCAGGCUGGUGGGGACGCGUAGUCGCAUCCACCCAUAUAAGGGGAUAAGGAUCCCCUUAUCAUAACGUUGAUUCUUUGAUUGUGGGUUAUCAAGAUCAACAACAGGUUCAAUUUCUAUAUCAUUAUCAUUGCUAGGUUGAGCAUCAUCAUGAACAUUAUCAUUAACAUUAUCACUAGUUUCAGGUUCAUUAGCAGAUUGUGUUUCAGCAUCAGAAAUAAAAAUAUCAUUUGGAUUCUUAGGUGUUUCAGAAAUAGGUUCAGGAAGUGUCCAAUUAUUUUCAUUUGUCAACAUAUUAUUCAAUAGAAUUUCAGAUUCAUCCGGUGUUCUUUCCCUGAAAACAGAACCAGCACAACUAUCCAGGUAAUCUCUGGAAGCAUCAGUUAGUCCAUUAUAAAAGAUAUCAAGUAUUUCAUUUUUCUUAAGAGGGUGAUCAGGCAAAGCAUUAAGUAAUUGGAGAAGCCUCCCCCAAGCUUGUGGGAGACUCACCUUUUCAAUUUGCACAAAAUUAUAUAUAUCCCUUAAGGCAGCUUGUUUCUUAUGAGCAGGGAAAUAUUUAGCAGAGAAGUAAUAAAUCAUAUCCUGGGGACUACGCACACAACCAGGAUCAAGAGAAUUAAACCAUAUCUUAGCAUCACCCUUUAAUGAGAACGGAAAUAUUUUAAGAAUAUAAAAGUAGCGAGUUCUCUCAUCAUUAGUGAACAGGGUGGCUAUAUCAUUUAAUUUAGUAAGAUGUGCCACAGCAGUUUCAGAUUCAGAGCCAUAAUAAGGAUCAGAUUCAACCAAAGUAAUUAUAUCAGGAUCAAUAGAGAAUUCAUAAUCCUUAUCAGUAACAAAGAUAGGUGAAGUAGCAUAAGAAGGAUCAUAUUUCAUUCUAGCAUUCAGAGUUUUUUGUUUAAGCUUAGCUAAUAAUUUCGUAAGAUCACUUCUAUCAUUGCAAGCAAGAAAGUCUCUUUUAGUUUCUUCAUCCAUAACAUAGCCCUCAGGCACAACAGGUAAUUCAUAUUUAUUAGGAGAGCCUUCAUAAUCACUUUCAUCAGUAUUAUCAGUUUCAAUAAUUUCAUUCUCUCUAGCCCUAGAAAGUUGCUCAUCAAGAAAUUCACCAAGUGGCACAGUUGUAUCAAGCAUAGAAGUAGUUUCAUCAUAAGUAACAUGCAUAUCAGAAGUGGCAUCAUUAAUAAUACGUGACAUAUCAGAAUCAAUAGCAGAAGUAGGUUUAGGUGUCGCAAGCUUACUCAAAAUAGAAGGUGAAUGAAGUGCAAAGCUAGAUGGCAGUUCCUUACCUCCCCUCAUAGUUGAGGGAUAAAUUUUUGUUUUCACGUCUUUCAAGUUCUUCAUAGUGACCAGCAGAUAUAAAUCCCAAGUGACUCAAAUAAUAGAGCUAUGCUCCCCGGCAACGGCGCCAGAAAAUAGUCUUGAUAACCCACAAGUAUAGGGGAUCGCAACAGUUUUUGAGGAUAGAGUAUUCAACCCAAAUUUAUUGAUUCGACACAAGGGGAGCCAAAGAAUAUUCUCAAGUAUUAGCAGCUGAGUUGUCAAUUCAACUACACCUGGAAACUUAAUAUCUGCAGCAAAGUAUUUAGUGGCAAAGUAAUAUGAUAGUAGUGGUAAUGGUAGCAAAAGUAACGGUAGCAAAAGUAAUGUUUUUGGUAUUUUGUAGUGCGGAUAGCAAUAGCAAUGGAAAAGUAAAUAAGCGAAGAACAAUAUAUGGAAAGCUCGUAGGCAAUGGAUUGGUGAUAGAGAAUUAUGCCGGAUGCGGUUCAUCAUGUAACAGUCAUAACCUAGGGUGACACAGAACUAGCUCCAAUUCAUCAAUGUAAUGUAGGCAUGUAUUCCGAAUAUAGUCAUACGUGCUUAUGGAAAAUAACUUGCAUGACAUCUUUUGUCCUACUCUCCCGUGACAGCGGCGUCCUAGUGGAAACUAAGGGAUAUUAAGGCCUCCUUUUAAUAGAUUACCGGAUCAAAGCAUUAACACAUAGUGAAUACAUGAACUCCUCAAAUUACGGUCAUCACUAGAAGUGGUCCCGAUUAUUGUCACUUUGGGGUUGCCGGAUCAUAACACAUAGUAGGUGACUAUAAACUUGCAAGAUAGGAUCAAGAACUCACAUAUAUUCAUGAAAACAUAAUAGGUUCAGAUCUGAAAUCAUGGCACUCGGGCUCUAGUGACAAGCAUUAAGCAUAGCAAAGUCAUAGCAACAUCAAUCUUAGAACAUAGUGGAUACUAGGGAUCAAACCCUAACAAAACUAACUCGAUUACAUGAUAAAUCUCAUCCAACCCAUCACCGUCCAGCAAGCCUACGAUGAAAUUACUCACGAACGGCGGUGAACAUCAUGAAAUUGGUGAUGGAGGAUGGUUGAUGAUGACGAUGGCGGCGGAUUCCCCUCUCCGGAGCCCCGAACGGACUCCAGAUCAGCCCCCCGAGAGAGUUUAGGGCUUGGCGGCGGCUCCGUAUCGUAAAACGCGAUGAAUCUUUCUCCUUGAUUUUUUUCUCUCUAAACACAAAUAUACAGAGUUGGAGUUGAGGUCGAAGGAGCUCCAGGGGGCCCACGAGGUAGGGGGCGCGCCUAGGGGGGCAGGCGCGCCCCCACCCUCGUGGCUAGGGUGUGGGCCCAUGGUCUUGAUCUUUUUCCAGUAUUUUUUUAUUAUUUCCAAAAAUAAUCUCUGUGGAGUUUCAGGUCAUUCCGAGAACUUUUGUUUCUGCACAUAAAUAACACCAUGGCAAUUCUGCUGAAAACAGCGCCAGUCCGGGUUAGUUCCAUUCAAAUCAUGCAAGUUAGAGUCCAAAACAAGGGCAAAAGUGUUUGGAAAAGUAGAUACGACGGAGACGUAUCAACUCCACCAACCUUAAACCUUUGCUUGUCCUCAAGCAAUUCAAUUGACAAACUGAAAGUGAUAAAUAAAAAGCUUUUACAAACUCUAUUUGCUCUUGUUGUUGUAAAUAUGUAAAGCCAGCAUUCAAGUUUUCAGGAAAGAUUAUGAAAUAACCACAUUCACAAUAACACUUAGGUCCCAUGUUUACUCAUAUCAAUGGCAUAAUCAAGUAGCGAGCAAUAAUAAAAAAUCUCGGGUGACAACACUUUCUCAAAACAAUCAUGAUAUGAUAUAACAAGAUGGUAUCUCGCUAGCCCUUUCCGAGACCGUAAAACAUAAAUGCAGAGCACCUUUAAAGAUCAAGGACUGACUAGAUAUUGUAAUUCAUGGUAAAAGAGAUCCAGUCAAGUCAUACUCAAUGUAAACUAAUAGUAAUGAAUGCAAAUGACAGAGGUGCUCUCCAACUGGUGCUUUUUAAUAAGAGGAUGAUGAGUCAACAUAAAAGUAAAUAGAUAGGCCCUUCGUAGAGGGAAGCAGGGAUUUGUAGAGGUGCCAGAGCUCGGUUUUAAAAUAGAGAUGAAUAAUAUUUUGAGCAGUAUACUUUCAUUGUCAACAUAACAACCAAGAGAUGGCGAUAUCUUCCAUGCUACACACAUUAUAGGCGGUCCCCAAACAGAAUGGUAAAGUUUAUACUCCUCCUCCACCAACAAGCAUCAAUCCAUGGCUUGCUCGAAACAACAAGUGCCUCCAACUAACAACAAUCCCGGGGGAGUUUUGUUUGCAAUUAUUUUGAUUUGAUUUGCAUAAAGCAUGGGACUGGGCAUCCCGGUGACCAGCCAUUUUCUCGUGAGUGAGGAGUGGAGUCCACUCCUCUUGAGAAUAACCCACCUAACAUGGAAGAUACGGACAUCCGUAGUUGAUACAUGAGCUAUUCAAGCAUACAAACCAGAAUGUUUAUUUGAAGGUUUAGAGUUUGGCACAUAUAAAUUUACUUGGAACGGCAGGUAGAUACCGUAUAUAGGUAGGUAUGGUGGACUCAUAUGGAAUAACUUUGGGGUUUAUGGGAUUGGAUGCACAAGCAGUAUUCCCGCUUAGUACAAGUGAAGGCUAGAAAAAGACUGGGAAGCGACCAGCUAGAGAGCGACAAUAGUCAUGAACAUGCAUUAUAAUUAAUCAACACCGAAUGCAAGCAUGAGUAGGAUAUAAUGCACCAUGAACAUAAAUAUCAUAGAGGCUAUGUUGAUUUUGUUUCAACUACAUGCGUGAACAUGUGCCAAGUCAAGCCACUCAAAUCGUUCAAAAGAGGAUACCACCCUAUCAUACCACAUCACAACCAUUUUAAUAGCAUGUUGGCACGCAAGGUAAACCAUUAUAAGCUCCUAGCUAAUUAAGCAUGGCAUAAGAAACUAUGAUCUCUAAUUGUCAUCGCAAACGUGUUUAUUCAUAAUAAGCCGAAUCAGGAAUGAUGAACUAAUCAUAUUUACAAAAACAAGAUAGGUCGAGUUCAUACCAGCUUCUCCCAUCUCAAUCAGUUCAUCAUAUAUCGUCAUAAUUGCCUUUCACUUGCACGACCGAAUGAUGUGAAUAAUAAUAACAGUGUACAUGCAUUGGACUAAGCUGGAAUCUGCAAGCAUUCAAUAAACAGGAGAAGACAAGUCAAUAUGGACUCUUGGUGAAAUCAACAAUAAUGCAUAUAGGAGUCACUUCAACAAUUUAAUCAUGGUCUUCUCCUAUCGACCCCCAAAGAAAAGAAAAGAAAUAAAACUAUUUACACGGGAAAGCUCCCAACAAGCAAAAAGAAGAACAUGAAAUCUUUUGGAUUUUGUUUUUAAUUACUACUACAAGCAUGGAAAGUAAACUAAUUAAAAGCUACAACUAUUUUUGUUUGUUUUUCUUAAUAUUUAUUAAACACACAAGAAGAAAGCAUAAAAGGAGAAAAUAAACUAGUAUGGAUAUUACAAUGAAAAAGUAUGAGCAUCGACAAUUAGCAAUGAGUGUGUGAACAUGAAUGUAAUGUCGGUGGGAAAUACGUACUUCCCCAAGCUUAGGCUUUUGUCCUAAGUUGGUCUAAUGCCACGGAUGGCCUCGCGGAUAUCCAAAGUUGUAGUUGGGGUCGUACUGAGAUGCAACAAUCAUUACAUCAUGAGCUGCAGCUUGGAGGCGAGCUAUCUUAGCCCUCCUCUUAUACUCUUCCGCCUCCUCUCUAGUUAUAAAUGUCUCCCUUUUGCCUGAAAAUCAAAGAAAGUAGAAGCAGGGAGAGCGACAUGAUAGGUGCGUCGUCUGUCAAAGAUUAGUCGGUACUGGAGGAACUGAUCGUUCCUCUCAACAAACUGAUGAUGAACCAUAGCCUCAUAAUCCAAAUAAGCAGGAGGCAACUCAAUAUCAUCCUCACGUAUGGUUAUACGAAGAAAAUUAGCUAUGCCGGGUUGCAUAAAUUCCACCAAAGAAAUAUCCAUUAAAUGUAUUAAGAUGCAACCUACGUGCAACAAUGGCUCCCAAAUUAUAAGAUUUAUCUCCUAACACAGCACUCCUACGAAUACUGAGGCCAGGGACACAUGUGACAUGGUUCAUAUUUACCGUUAAUGCAUCUACCUAUGAAGAGAGCAAAAUAAUGUAUAGUAGAAAAGUGAAUGCUCCCUAUGGUAGCUUGUGCUAUAUCUCUAGAUUCCCCCACAGUUAUACUAGCAAGAAAAUCUCUAAAUUCAGAUUUGCGAGGUUCACUAGCACUACCCCAUUGUGGAAGUUUGCAAGCAGUGGUAAAGUCCUGUAAGUCCAUAGUAUAAGAAUUUUCAUAAAGAUCAAACAGGACAGUUUGAGAAUUAUGUGAAGAUGAAAAUCCAAACCUCCUCACAAAGGAACUAGUGAGAUAGUGGUACUGACGGCAUUUUUCUGCCUCGAAGCUCACAAGAUCAGCAUUAUGCAAAUAUGCGUUAAAUUCUUCUUUAAUUCCUGCUCGAUCCAUGAAGUCCUCUGAAGGCCAUUCACAAGGCCGCACUGGAGCGUCCCUUGGUGGCUCAUCAUCAGCAUCACGCAUUGCAAGCCUGGGUCCUUGUUUCCUUGAAGAACCACCUUGGUACAUUUUCCUAAACAUAUUUCUUCCUCUGAAAAUUUCUGAAAUUUUUAGUAACUUCAAAAUAAAAGUGAACCAAACUCAACAAAAUUGAUAGCAACUACUCCUACAAGUGCCUAGAGCCUAUAUCAUGCAUCGAAACUACUUGGAACCACAUAAAUUUGACAUGCAAGCUCAAGAAUAGGGUCACCUAAGCAGCAAAAAUAUGCAAUGAAUAAAGCACUAGAACAAAAACUAAUAGGACCAUUGGAGGAGUCACAUACCAAGGAACAAUCCCCCAAAGUAGUUUUGUGAGAGGUGCUUUGAGCAAGGAGAUCGAAAAUCGCAGCAAAAUGAGCUAGAAGUCGUGCUUGAGUUGGAUAAUGGUGUUUGUGGGAGGAAGAAGGAGUAUGUGGGUGCAGGAAUAAGUGGAGGAGGGCCACCAUGGGUCCACAAGGCAGGGGGCGCACCCAGGGGGUAGGGCGCGCCCUCCACCCUCAUGGCCAGGUGGAUGCCCCUACUGUGUUCUUAGUGCCAAAUAUUCUCAAAUAUUCCAAAAAAAUCAUAUUUAAAUUUCAGGGCAUUUGGAGAACUUUUAUUUUCGGGGUAUUUUUAUAUUGCACGAAUAAUCAGAAAACAGACAGAAAAUACUAUUUUUGCUUUAUUUAAUAUAAAUAACAGAAAGUAAAAAGAGGGUACAGAGAGUUACGUCUUCUAAAUUCAUACAUCUCAUGCUCAUCAAAAGGAAUCCACUAACAAGGUUGAUCAAGUCUUGUUAACAAACUCAUUCCGAAUAACAUGGAGCCGGAGAAUUUUCGAAUAACACUAGGUUACCUCAACGGGGAUAUGCACAUCCCCAACAAUAAGAAUAUCAUAUUUCUUCUUGAUAGUAGGAAGAGGAAAUUCAAAACCUCCAAAAAUAAUCGAUGGAAUUUUUCCAAUAGAAUCGAUACUGUGGACUUGAGGUUGUUUCCUCGGAAAGUGUACCGUAUGCUCAUUACCAUUAACAUGAAAAGUGACAUUGCCUUUAGUGCAAUCAAUAACAGCCCCUGCAGUAUUCAAAAAGGGUCUUCCAAGAAUAAUAGACAUACUAUCGUCCUCGGGAAUAUCAAGAAUAACAAAGUCCAUUAAAAUAGUAACGUUAGCAACCACAACAGGCACAUCCUCACAAAUACCGACAGGUAUAACAAUUGAUUUAUCAGCCAUUUGCAAAGAUAUUUCAGUAGGUGUCAACUUAUUCAAAUCAAGUCUACGAUAUAAAGAGAGAGGCAUAACACUAACACCAGCUCCAAGAUCACAUAAACCAGUUUUAACAUAGUUUCUUUUAAUGGAGCAUGGUAUAGUGGGUACUCCUGGAUCUCCAAGUUUCUUUGGUAUUCCACCUUUAAAAGUAUAAUUAGCAAGCAUGGUGGAAAUUUCAGCUUCCGGUAUCUUUCUUUUAUUAGUAACAAUAUCUUUCAUAUACUUAGCAUAAGGAUUCAUUUUGAGCAUAUAAGUUAAUCGCAUACGCAAAAAGAUAGGUCUAAUCAUUUCAGCAAAGCACUCAAAAUGCUCAUCAUCCUUUUUCUUGGAUGGUUUGGGAGGAAAAGGCAUGGGUUUUUGAACCCAAGGCUCUCUUUCCUUACCGUGUUUCCUAGCAACAAAGUCUUCCUUAUCAUAACGUUGAUUCUUUGAUUGUGGGUUAUCAAGAUCAACAACAGGUUCAAUUUCUAUAUCAUUAUCAUUGCUAGGUUGAGCAUCAUCAUGAACAUUAUCAUUAACAUUAUCACUAGUUUCAGGUUCAUUAGCAGAUUGUGUUUCAGCAUCAGAAAUAAAAAUAUAAUUUGGAUUCUUAGGUGUUUCAGCAAUAGGUUCAGGAAGUGUCCAAUUAUUUUCAUUUGUCAACAUAUUAUUCAAUAGAAUUUCAGAUUCAUCUGGUGUUCUUUCCCUGAAAACAGAACCAGCACAACUAUCCAGGUAAUCUCUGGAAGCAUCGAUUAGUCCAUUAUAAAAGAUAUCAAGUAUUUCAUUUUUCUUAAGAGGGUGAUCAGGCAAAGCAUUAAGUAAUUGGAGAAGCCUCCCCCAAGCUUGUGGGAGACUCACCUUUUCAAUUUGCACAAAAUUAUAUAUAUCCCUUAAGGCAGCUUGUUUCUUAUGAGCAGGGAAAUAUUUAGCAGAGAAGUAAUAAAUCAUAUCCUGGGGACUACGCACACAACCAGGAUCAAGAGAAUUAAACCAUAUCUUAGCAUCACCCUUUAAUGAGAACGGAAAUAUUUUAAGAAUAUAAAAGUAGCGAGUUCUCUCAUCAUUAGUGAACAGGGUGGCUAUAUCAUUUAAUUUAGUAAGAUGUGCCACAACAAUUUCAGAUUCAGAGCCAUAAAAAGGAUCAGAUUCAAUCAAAGUAAUUAUAUCAGGAUCAAUAGAGAAUUCAUAAUCCUUAUCAGUAAUAAAGAUAGGUGAAGUAGCAUAAGCAGGAUCAUAUUUCAUUCUAGCAUUCAGAGUUUUUUGUUUAAGCUUAGCUAAUAAUUUCUUAAGAUCACUUCUAUCAUUGCAAGCAAGAAAGUCUCUUUUAGUUUCUUCAUCCAUAACAUAGCCCUCAUGCACAAUAGGUAAUUCAUAUUUAUUAGGAGAGCCUUCAUAAUCACUUUCAUCAGUAUUAUCAGUUUCAAUAAUUUCAUUCUCUCUAGCCCUAGCAAGUUGUUCAUCAAGAAAUUCACCAAGUGGCACAGUUGUAUCAAGCAUAGAAGUAGUUUCAUCAUAAGUAACAUGCAUAGCAGAAGUGGCAUCAUCAAUAAUACGUGACAUAUUAGAAUCAAUAGCAGAAGUAGGUUUAGGUGUCGCAAGCUUACUCAAAAUAGAAGGUGAAUGAAGUGCAGAGCUAGAUGGCAGUUCCUUACCUCCCCUCAUAGUUGAGGGAUAAAUUUUUGUUUUCAUGUCUUUCAAGUUCUUCAUAGUGACCAGCAGAUAUAAAUCCCAAGUGACUCAAAUAAUAGAGCUAUGCUCCCUGGCAACGGCGCCAGAAAAUAGUCUUGAUAACCCACAAGUAUAUGGGAUCGCAACAGUUUUCGAGGAUAGAGUAUUCAACCCAAAUUUAUUGAUUAGACACAAGGGGAGCCAAAGAAUAUUCUCAAGUAUUAGCAGCUGAGUUGUCAAUUCAACCACACCUAGAAACUUAAUAUCUGCAGCAAAGUAUUUAGUGGCAAAGUAAUAUGAUAGUAGUGGUAACGGUAGCAAAAGUAACGGUAGCAAAAGUAAUGCUUUUGGUAUUUUGUAGUGCGGAUAGCAAUAGCAAUGGAAAAGUAAAUAAGCGAAGAACAAUAUAUGGAAAGCUCGUAGGCAAUGGAUCGGUGAUAGAGAAUUAUGCCGGAUGCGGUUCAUCAUGUAACAGUCAUAACCUAGGGUGACAUAGAACUAGCUCCAAUUCAUCAAUGUAAUGUAGGCAUGUAUUCCGAAUAUAGUCAUACGUGCUUAUGGAAAAUAACUUGCAUGACAUCUUUUGUCCUACUCUCCCGUGACAACGGCGUCCUAGUGGAAACUAAGGGAUAUUAAGGCCUCCUUUUAAUAGAGUACCGGACCAAAGCAUUAACACAUAGUGAAUACAUGAACUCCUCAAAUUACGGUCAUCAUCGGAAGUGGUCCCGAUUAUUGUCACUUUGGCGUUGCCGGAUCAUAACACAUAGUAGGUGACUAUAGACUUGCAAGAUAGGAUCAAGAACUCACAUAUAUUCAUGAAAACAUAAUAGGUUCAGAUCUUAAAUCAUGGCACUCGGGCUCUAGUGACAAGCAUUAAGCAUAGCAAAGUCAUAGCAACAUCAAUCUCAGAACAUAGUGGAUACUAGGGAUCAAACCCUAACAAAACUAACUCGAUUACAUGAUAAAUCUCAUCCAACCCAUCACCGUCCAGCAAGCCUACGAUAGAAUUACUCACGCACGGCGGUGAGCAUAAUGAAAUUGGUGAUGGAGGAUGGUUGAUGAUGACGAUGGCGGCGGAUUCCCCUCUCCGGAUCCCCGAACGGACUCCAGAUCAGCCCUCCCGAGAGAGUUUAGGGCUUGGCAGCGGCUCCGGACCAUAAAAUGCGAUGAAUCUUUCUCCUUGAUUUUUUUUCUCUCUAAACACGAAUAUAUAGAGUUGGAGUUGAGGUCGGAGGAGCUCCAGGGGGCCCACGAGGUAGGGGGCACGCCCCCCACCCUCGUGGCUAGGGUGUGGGCUCCCUGGUCUUGAUCUUUUGCUAGUAUUUUUUUAUUAUUUCCAAAAAUAAUCUCCGUGAAGUUUCAGGUCAUUCCGAGAACUUUUGUUUCUACACAUAAAUAACACCAUGGCAAUUCUGCUGAAAACAGCGCCAGUCCGUGUUAGUUCCAUUCAAAUCUUGUAAGUUAGAGUCCAAAAUAAGGGCAAAAGUGUUUGGAAAAGUAGAUACGACGGAGACGUAUCACUUACCGAUUUACCACUACCGUUUUGGGGUUAUGCAUUAGAGACAACUGCAUUCACGUUAAAAAGGGCACCAUCUAAAUCCGUUCAGACGACACCGUGGUUUAGCAAGAAACCUAAGCUAUCAUUUCUUAAAGUUUGGGGUUGCGAUGCUUAUGUGAAAAUGUUUCAACCUGAUAGGCUCAAACCCAAAUAGGAGAAGUGCGUCUUCAUAGGAUACCCAAAAGAAAUUGUUGGGUACACCUUCUAUCACAGAUCUAAAGGCAAGAUCUUUGUCGCUAAGAGUGGAUCCUUUCUAGAGAAGGAGUUUCUCUCGAAAGAAGUGAGUGGGAGGAAAGUAGAACUUGAUGAGGUAACUGUACCUUCUCUUGAAUUGGAAAGUAGUUCAUCAAAGAAAUCUGUUCCUGUGAUGCCUACACCAACUAGAGAGGAAGUUAAUGAUGAUGAUCAUGAAACUUCAAAUCAAGUUACUACAGAACUUCGUAGGUCAACUAGAGCAUGAUCCACACCAGUGUGGCACGAUAAUACUGUACUGGAAGUCAUGUUACUAGACCAUGAUGAACUUACGAACUAUGAGGAAGUGAUGAUGAGCCCAGAUUCUGCGAAAUGGCUUAAGGCCAUGAAAUCUGAGAUGGGAUCCAUGUAUGAGUGGACUUUGAUUGACUUGCCCGAUGAUCGGUGAGCCAUUCAAAAUAAAUGGAUCUUCAAGAGGAAGACGAACGCUGAUAGUAGUGUUACUAUCUACAAAGCUUGAAUUGUCGCAAAAGGUUUUCAACAAGUUCAAGGUGUUGACUACGUUGAGAUUUUCUCACUCGUAUCGAUGCUUAAAAGUCUGUCUGAAUCAUGUUAGCAGUUGCCACAUUUUAUGAAAUCUGGCAAAUGGAUAUCAAAACUACAUUCCUUAAUGGAUUCAUUAAAGAAGAGUUGUAUAUGAUGCAACCAGAAGGUUUUGUCAAUCCUAAAGAUGCUAACAAAAUGUGCAAGCUCCAGCGAUCCAUCUAUGGACUGGUGCAAGCAUCUUGGUGUUGGAAUAUACACUUUGAUAAGUUGAUCAAAUCAUAUAGUUUUAUACAAACUUUUCGUGAAGCCUGUAUUUACAAGAAAGUGAGUGGGAGCACUACAACCUUUCUAAUAAGUAUAUGUGAAUGACAUAUUGUUGAUCGAAAAUAAUGUAGAAUUUUCUGGAAAGCAUAAAGGAGUGUUUGAAAGGAGUUUUUCAAAGAAAUACCCCGGUGAAGCUGCUUACAUAUUGAGCAUCAAGAUCUAUGGAGAUAGAUCAAGACACUUGAUAAUUUUUUUUCAAUGAGUACAUACCUUGACAAGAUUUUGAAGGAGUUCAAAAUGGAUCCGUCAAAGAAGGAGUUCUUGUCUAUGUUGUAGGGUGUGAAGUUGAGUAAAGACUCAAAACCCGACCAUGGCAGAAAAUAGAAAGAGAAUGAAAAGUCAUUCCCUAUGUCUCAGUCAUAGGUUCUAUAAAGUAUGCUAUGCUAUGUACCAGACCUAUUGUAUACCUUAGCAUGAUUUCGGCAAGAGAGUACAAUAGUGAUCUAGGAGUAGAUCACCGGACAACGGUCAAAAUUAUCCUUAGAGGACUAAGGAAAUAUUUCUCGGUUAUGGAGCUGAUAAAAGAGUUCGUCGUAAAGAGUUACAUCGAUGCAAGCUUUUGACACCGAUCUAGAUGACUCCAAGUCUCGAUCUAGAUACAUAUUGAAAGUGGGAGCGAUUAGCUAGAGUAGCACCAUUCAUAGUAUUGUAGACAUAGUAAUUUGCAAAAUACAGAUGUGUCUGAAUCUUGCAAACCCGUAGACUAAACUUUUCUCACAAGCAAAACAUGAUCACUCUUUGGGUGUUAAUCACAUAGCAAUGUGAACUAGAUUAUUGACUCUAGUAAACCCUUUGGGUAUUGGUCACAUGAAGAUGUGAAUUAAUCACAUAAAGAUGUGAACUAUUGAUGUGAAAUCACAUGACGAUGUGAACUAGAUUAUUGACUCUAGUGCAAGUGGGAGACUGAAGGAAAUAUGCCCUAGAGGCAAUAAUAAAGUUGUUAUUUAUAUUUCCUUAUAUCAUGAUAAAUGUUUAUUAUUCAUGCUAGAAUUGUAUUAACCAAAAACUUAGUACAUGUGUGAAUACAUAGACAAACAGAGUGUCCCUAGUUUGCCUCUAAUAGACUAGCUCGUUAAUCAAAGAUGGUUAAGUUUCCUAGCCAUAGAAAUGUGUUGUCAUUUGAUGAACGAGAUCACAUCAUUAGAGAAUGAUGUUAUGGACAAGACCCAUCCAUUAUCUUAGCACUAUGAUCGUUUAGUUUAUUGCUAUUGCUUUCUUCAUGACUUAUACAUGUCCCUAUGACUAUGAGAUUAUGCAACUUCCGAAUACCGGAGGAACACUUAGUGUGCUAUCAAACAUCACAACGUAACUGGGUGACUAUAAAGAUGCUCUACAUGUGUCUCCCAUGGUGUUUGUUGAGUUGGCAUAGAUCGAGAUUAGGAUUUGUCACUCCGAUUGUCGGAGAGGUAUCUCUGGGUCCUCUCGGUAAUGCACAUCACUAUAAGCCUUGCAAGCAAUGUGACUAAUGAGUUAGUUGUGGGAUAAUGCAUUACGGAAUGAGUAAAGAGACUUGCCGAUAACGAGGUAUGACGAUACCGGCGAUCAAAUCUCGGGCAAGUAACAUACUGAUGACAAAGGGAACAACGUAUGUUGUUAUGCGGUUUGACCGAUAAAGAUCUUCGUAGAAUAUGUAGGAGCCAAUAUGAGCAUCCAGGUUCCGCUAUUGGUUAUUGACAGGAGAUGUGUCUCGGUCAUGUCUACGUAGUUCUCAAACCCAUAGGGUCCGCACGCUUAACGUUCGAUGACGAUUUGUAUUAUGAGUUAUGUGAUUUGAUGUAUCGAAGGUUGUUGGGGUCCCGGAUGAGAUCACGGACAUGACGAGGAGUCUUAAAAUGGUCGAGACGUAAAGAUCGAUAUAUUGGAAGGCUAUAUUCGGACAUCGGAAAGGUUCCGAGUGAUUCGGGUAUUUUUUGGAGUACCGGAGAGUUAUGGGAAUUCGCCGGAGGAAGUAGUGGGCCUUGAUGGGCCAUACGGGAAAGGGGAGAAGGGCUUCAAGGGGUGGCCGCGUGCCCCCCCAUGGGCUGGUUCAAAUUGGAUUAAGAGGGUCGGUGCCCCCUCCCUUUCCUUCUCCCUCUCUCCCUCUCCUUCCUCCCCCCUCUCUUCCCUUGUUGGAAACCUAUUAGGAAUAGGAUUCCUAUUCCUAGUAGGAAUCCUACUUGGGGCGCACCCCAUGAGGGCCGGCCGACCUCCCCCCUUGAUCCUUUAUAUACAGGGGCAGGGGGCACCCUAGAACACACAAGUUGAUUGUUUAGCCGUGUGCGGUGCCCCCCUCCACAGAUUUCCACCUCAGUCAUAUCGUUGUAGAGCUUAGGCGAAGCCCUGCGUCGGUAACUUCAUCAUCACCGUCAUCAUGCCAUCGUGCUGAUGAAACUCUCCCUCGACCUCAGCUGGAUCUAGAGUUCGUGGGACGUCACCGAGCUGAACGUGUGUAGAUCACAGAGGUGCCGUACCUUCAGUGCUAGGAUCGGUCGGAUCGUGAAGACGUACGACUACAUCAAACACGUUGUCAUAAUGCUUCUGCUUACGGUUUACGAGGGUACAUAGACAACACUCUUCCCCUCUCGUUGCUAUGCAUCAGCUAGAUAGAUCUUGCGUGUGCGUAGGAUUUUUUUUGAAAUUAUUGUGUUCCCCAACAAAAAACACUACAAAACUUCAUCUAGAAUUGGCCGGCGACAGAGUCACCUAUGUUAGAGUAUAUUGACUGAGGAGUCAAGUGAGAACACUUGAUCGUAGGUCAUACUCGUCGUUUAAGCUCAAAAUGGGGUUACCAUUUUUCGUUUAAGCAUUUGAUGUAUUCGCAUCUUGUUGAGUUGGUUUGACCCAUGACUUGGGGUAAAGCUUCUCUAAGAUGGAAUAACAUACCUUGGCUGGUGGUGUUGAACUUGAUCAUGUAGUGGAACUUGUGUGGGAUGCUCAAGGUUGAUGUAUCUCGUCAAAGAUUGGGAGCACCACUUGUAGUUUGAGUUCAUUUACCUACAUGUGUUAGUCUUGCAAAGAAGAGCACGUGUGUAUCCAAUUUGACAAUCAUGAAUUCCAUAACAAAUGAAAUUUGAUAUAUAGAAAUGGUCAAAGGAUAUGUUGAAAGGUUUCAUGCUUCCUUGUCUUCAACCACCAUAUUGUAGAGACUUGGUGAUGUAGAGAUUUCUCAAGAUGUGAGUGAUUUGCAAUCUCAUAGAUUUUGGUUCAUCCAAGUACCUACAAGGGUUACAUAACAUGCAAGGGUGCAAAUAUAUCCAAGACAUAUGAUCAUCAUCAUCAUAAGAGAAACAUUAAGGAUUAGUCAAAGGCUCAUGCCUUGCAUGUAUCCGAAUGGAGUUUCUACUCCAAGUUUGAGGCAUCAAUGAUGUUCAAUUCACCUCUCAAACGGCAAAAUACUUUCUCAUCAUGCGGUUCGGUGAAUAUAUCCGCCAAUUGCUUUGUCGGUACGAACAUGCUUAAGAUCAAUAUCACCUUUAGCAACGUGAUCUCGAAUGAAAUGGUGACGAACUUCAGUAUGCUUAGUUCGAGAAUGUUGCAUGGGAUUAUAUGCAAUCUUAAUAGCACUUUCAUUGUCACAAAGCAAUGGAACAUGUUUCACAUGGAUCCCGUAAUCUUUAAGAGUUUGGGUCAUCCAAAGUAAUUGAGCACAACAUGAACCGGCGGCAAUGUAUUCCGCUUCGGCGGUGGAUAAGGAUAUCGAGUUUUGUUUCUUGGAGGACCAAGACACAAGAGAUCUAUCAAGGAAUUGACAAGUACCUGAAGUGGAUUUUCUAUCAACCUUGUCUCCGGCAUAGUCCGAAUCGGAGUAGCCAACAAGAUUAAAAGAAGACCUCUUAGGAUACCAAAUGCCAAAAUUUGGUGUAUGUAUUAGGUAUCUCACUAUCCUUUUCACAGCCUUAAGAUGACAUUCUUUGGGGGCCGCUUGAUAUCGUGCACACAUGCACACACUUAGCAUGAUAUCGGGUUGGGAGGAACAUAGAUAUAAUAAUGAACCAAUCAUAGAGCGAUAAACAUUUUGCUCUACUGGUUUGCCAUCCUUGGUCAAGUCAAGAUGUCCACUAGUAGGCAUGGGAGUUUUUAUACCUUUGCUUUCUUGCAUGUUGAACUUCUUGAAUAAGUCCUUGGUAUACUUUGUUUGAGAAACAAAGGUGCCUUCCUUAGUUUACUUGAUUUGCAAACCAAGGAAGAAUUUGAGUUCACUCAUCAUUGACAUCUCAAACUUCUCCGACAUUAGCUUUCCAAACUUUUCACUAAAAUGAGGGUUAGUUGAACCAAAUAUGAUAUCAUCGACAUAAAUUUGGCACACAAAUAAUUCACCAUUAACGCUUUUAGUAAAAAGAGUAGAAUCAGUCUUCCCAAUCUCAAAGCCUUUUUCAAUAAGGAACUUGGUCAAGCAUUUAUACCACGCUCUAGGAGCUUGUUUAAGACCAUAAAGAGCUUUGUGAAGUUUGUAAACAUGGUCGGGUUUCUUAGGAUUAACAAAGUCGGGAAGUUGUUUAACAUAAACUUCCUCCUCAAUUUCACCAUUUAGGAAAGCACUUUUAAUGUCCAUUUGGUACAAGGUGAUAUCAUGGUGAUUAGCAUAGGCAAGUAAGAUGCGGAUGGACUCAAUUCUAGCAAGGGGGCAUAUGUCUCACCGUAGUCCAUACCUUCGACUUGAGUGUAGCCUUGGGCGACGAGACGUGCUUUGUUGUGGACGACUUGACCAUCUUCGUCUUGCUUGUUGCGGAACACCCAUUUGGUACCGAUGAUGUUGUGGUUGUUGUCGGGCUUCUUGACCAAUGUCCACACUUGGUUUCUCUCAAAGUUGUGUAGCUCUUCAUGCAUGGCAUAUAUCCAAUCUGGAUCUUCCAAUGCUUCUUCAACCUUCAUAGGUUCAAUGCUAGAGAUGAAUGAAUAAUGUUCACAAAAGUUAGCCAAAUGAGUUUUAGAGCAAGUGAUUCUCCCGGUUUGAAUAUCGUUGAAGAUUUGUUCAACAGGAUGGUCUCGUGAAACUCUUGCUCGAACUCGUGGGAGAUUUUGUUUGGGUCGGGGUGGAGCAUCCUCUUCAUCAUCUCGUUCUUCUUCUUGGCCUUCUUCAUUGUUGGCGUUGUCGUUCUCUUGUCUAGGUGGAGAAGGAGGUUGAUGAGGUUCAUCUUGGUGUACUUUCUCGUUUUCUUCAUCUUGGCGUGUCCCACUUGUGGAUGCUUCCAUGUAAACUCUUGGUUCACCUUGUCGUGAGGUAGAAGCUUCCACUUGGACGGACGAGGUACUCUCCUUCACCUCCGUUGGACGAAUCUUGCCAAUAGACAUGUCUUGGAUUGCUUCCGAAGGGUCUUUGUCUCCUACAUCAAUUGGAAAUUGCUCUACUUGAGAGCCGUUAGAUUCAUCAAACUUCACAUCUACCGUCUCUUCAACCUUUCGGGUGAAAUUGUCGUAGACACGGUAAGUGUGAGAGUUUGAGCCAUAACCGAGUAGGAAACCCUCAUGAGAUUUAGGAGCAAAUUUAGAACAACGAUGCUUAUCAAGAAUGUAACACUUUGAGCCAAACACUCGAAAGCAUCCAACUUGGGGUUUGUUACCAGUGAGAAGCUCGUUUGCCGUCUUGCCGAGUAGCUUGUGAAGAUACAAGCGAUUUGUUGCAUGACAGGCUGUCUCAACCGCUUCCGCCCAAAAGUGUUUUGGCAUCUUGUACUCAUCAAGCAUCAUUCUCUCCAUCUCAAUAAGAGUUCAGUUCUUCCUCUCAACAACUCCAUUUUGCUUAGGCAUGUACGUGGCCGAGAACUCGUGUGAAAUCCCUUCUUCGUCAAGAAAGGUAUCCACAUUUGCGUUCUUGAACUCCGUUCCGUUGUCACCGCGAACCUUCUUGAUCUUCACUUCGAAUUGAUUUUGGGCCUUCCUAGCGAAGUUCUUGAAGAUAUUUUGGACCUGCGAUUUAUCAUCAAGAAAGAACACCCAUGUAAAUCUUGAAAAAUCAUCGACUAUAACUAGACCAAAUGAGUUUCCACCGAGACUUUUGUAGGCAUUGGGACCAAAAAGAUCCAUAUGAAGUAGCUCAAGCGGUCUCCUCAUGGUCAUGAUGUUCUUCAUGGGAUGACUUCCUCCGAUUUGUUUUCUUGCUUGACAAGCACUGCACAAUCUAUCCUUGUCAAAUAUAACAUCUUUUACUCCAAGGAUGUGAUCACCUUUAAUAAGCUUAUCAAGAUUUCGCAUGCCCACAUGACCUAACCUUCUAUGCCACAACCAGCCUUUCGAGGAUUUAGCAAUUAAGCAAGUUCUAGGUUGAGCCUUUUUAGUGAAAUCAACAAUAUAUAGAUCACCUCUACGUAUACCGGUAAAGACCAUUUUAUGAUUAUCUCUACGAAACACUUGGCAAUCUACUUCAGUAAAUAGGACAUUGAAACCAAAGUCAGCAAGUCUAGAUACGGAAAGUAGAUUAUAUCCAAGAGAUUCAACAAGCAUAACAUUUUGUGUGGAGCUGUCAUGUGAGAUGGCCACCUUACCAAGGCCAACCACCUUACCCUUUGAGUUGUCACCAAAAGUGACAUACUUUUGAGGGCCGUCAUUUUCAGCAAGCUCAUAAAACAUAUCCUUAUCUCCGGUCAUGUGAUCAGUACAUCCACUAUCAAGUCUUGGCAGAUUUUAGCAACUUAGCACUAGUCAAGCAAUCAACCUACACAUGCAAGUCUAAGAGUAUAGCAGCGGAAUGUAAAACAUUGCACAUGAAGGUAAAGGGAGGAGUUUGGAGGGAGCAAACGCAAUGUAGACAUGGAGAUUUUGGCGUGGUUCCGAUAGGUGGUGCUAUCAUACAUCCACGUUGGUGGAGACUUCAACCCACGAAGGGUAACGGUUGUGCGAGUCCACGGAGGGCUCCACCCACGAAGGGUCCACGAAGAAGCAACCUUGUCUAUCCCACCAUGGCCAUCGCCCAUGAAGGACUUGCCUCACUAGGGUAGAUCUUCAUGAAGUAGGCGAUCUCCUUGCCCGUACAAACUCCUUGGUUCAACUCCACAAUCUUGACGGAGGCUCCCAAGUGACACCUAACCAAUCUAGGAGACACCACUCUCCAAAAGGUAAUAGAUGGUGUGUUGAUGAUGAACUUCUUGCUCUUGUGCUUCAAAUGAUAGUCUCCCCAACACUCAACUCUCUCUCACUGAUUUGGAUUUGGUGGAAAGAAGAUUUGACUGGAAAGCAACUUGGAGAAGGUUAGAGAUCAAGAUUCAUAUGGUUGGAAUGGAAUAUCUUGGUCUCAACACAUGAGUAUGUGAUUCUCUCUCAGAAAAUGAAUGUUGGAAGUGUAGGCAUGUUCUGAUGGCUCUCCUCGUGAAUGAAGAGUGGGUGGAGGGGUAUAUAUAGCCUCCACACAAAAUCUAACCAUUACACACAAAUCACCAAACUCGAUGGGACCAAAUAAUGAAACUCGGUCAGACCGAUUUAGUUCAAAAUGUGAACGUUAGGAUUUUCGAUGGGACCGAUAUGAUGAACUCGGUGGGACCGUUAUGCUAGGGUUAGGGUAAAACCUUAUCUUGGUAUGACCGAUUACACAAACUCGGUGAGACCGAUUUUGGUAAUAGGCAAAACAGAGAGUUGGUCAAGCAAACUCGGUGGGACCGAUUGCUUAUGUCGGUGGGACUAAAAUAAUUGCAACAGGCAACAGAGAGUUUGUAAGCCCAUCUCGGUGAGACCGAGAUCCCAUCGGUGAGACUGAAUUGAUUUAGGGUUUCUGGUAGUGGCUAUGUCAAGUGAACUCGGUGACGUCAGAUAGAGUGUUUCGGUGGAGCCGAGUUUGAUUUUUGGUUUGGGACAUAUGUGGAUAUGAGAAAGUGGUUGAGGGCUUUUGGAGCAUAUCACUAAGCACUUAGAGCAAGCAAGCCAUUAAGCAACACCUCAUCCCCUUUUAAUAGUAUUGGCUUUCCUAAGGACUCAAUGUGAUCUUGGAUCACUAAACUGAAAAUGUAGAGCCUUCAGCUUUUGAGCUUGAGCCAAUCCUUUAUCCUUAGCAUCUUUAAGGGGUUCCACAUCCUCUUGUCCACGCCACUCCAUCUGUUGAACUUAUCUAAAAUAUACUAGAUAAAAAUAUGAGUUCAACAAGAGAUAUGUUGACAUUAAUUACCAAAACCACCCAGGGAGCACUUGUGCUUUCAAACAAGGAACAAAAUAAAAUUUCAUCUCCUCAACCCUGAGCUAAUAUUUAUGUAACUCCUUUUUUCUAGAAUCCAGUGCAGUAGUUACAGUGACUAAAACAAGCAUUGUUUCAAUUUCACAGUUUUUCUCCAAAUUGAUGUGAAGAAGAGUAAAACAAAUCUACUUUCUUGGAAUAUAUCAGAAUAUGUACCAUGAAGAAAUUUUGAUCUUAUGCCUUUGAGUAUUAUUUCAUAGUGACAUCUCAUCAAGAUAUGCUAAUAUGUUUGUACCUUCAUUAAUAAAUCUCUAAGAACUUAAAGCCGGAUGCAAACCUCUCUCCAGGUCAAGUGGAGGAAAUGACGGAUAGAGGAAGCAUUACUGUAAUAUGCUGUUGCCAAUUCUUGUAAGCAAAACCAAUCCUAAGUAGAUAGAUUAUUCUUAUUCAACUAUAUAAAUGGCAAAAUAUACAAAUACUUAUUUACAUGCAAUCUACCCAAACCAAUGCCUCGGUAAAGUGUAAAAUAGUCAGUUCUCACUAAAUGAUGAGUCACCUUCACAGUUAAUGUCCUAAAUAAAAGUUACUUCUGACGACACUGUCAAUUAGCAACAUAACAUAUGUUCUAGAAUGACAGUUCGUCCUUCGUAUAGUCUUGAUAGGAGUUAUUUUGUUAGAACACCAUUUAUAUUUCAAAAUAGUUCUUAACAACCCACAAAAAGAAGUACUCCCUCCGUCUGAAAAUAACUGUCUCAGACUUGGUACAACUUUAUAACUCUUUUCUAUAUUCCAAACAGAGGAAUAUACUGGAACAUGUGCAACACAUUUUUUAAUGUAAGGCUCUUUUACUGAGUGAAGCCCAGCUCAAAGGCAAAAAUCUGAUCAUCUACUUAGUACCUAAAGAUCAAACGAUGUCACUCAUGCUCAUGACCUUCCUACACGAAAAUAAAUACUUUGAUUACUUGAUUCCGAAAUCUGCAUUAGUUGAAGAAAACCCGCGCAUCUUCAUACAAGAUCCUGUUGGUUCCCUAUCGUUGCUUGCUGCUCCUAAUCUCCUACCACCUCACUCCAGAUCUAACCAGGAGCUAUCCAUUGAAGAUUCUAAUUAUAUAUAUCCAAAAUAGAAAUGAUUGAAAAUGUAACAACAAACUAUCGUGUCACAUAAAGGACACAAAUUUCCUGUUCUCGGCUUUCAUAAUGUGACAACUACAAACAUUGAACUCAAUGCUCCAAAGAAGUAAUGCAAAAUAUUAGUACAAAAGGAGACCAUUAUUAAUACAUUCUCUAUACAUAGAUGUCGUUAUUUUCCCAGUUCAUGGCUUCUUGCCACAACAAUACUACACGAAGAGUAGCAGUAAAGAAUAUACAGUACAACUCAAAGAGUAGGAGGGGAAAGUCCAUGGAGGCAAAGAUGGUCAAAGGAUUCAUUACCUAGACUUUGCGAUGCCACCGCCAGUAGCACUAAGGUCAUGCAUCGGUGCAUGGUGCCGUAGGUGCAGGAGCUCGAGUGUUGAGUUCGAGCCUCCGAGGCAGCCGAGAAGAACCCCGUGCAACACAUGCUCUUUAGAAAGAAAAUCCUAUUGCAAGAUAAUUACGGGAGAUUGGAUGAUUUUCCACACUUUACUUGGUGAUUAGAUGAUUUCCCCCCGCUUUAGUUAGGAUUAGAUUAUUUUCCCCAUUUUUCUUUAAUAUUUUUAUCAUUUGCCCUCAUUGAUAUUUAAUGAAUUAUUGAUUAUUUUAUAAUUCAAAAAAUUAAGUGGAAUGACCUUUAUGCCUCUAUGGGCAUUACUGCAUUUUCUGGCUAAUAAUCUUCUCUACCUGGUUGGAGCGUGCGCUGCGUACCAGAUCAACUCAUCCCUUCAUCCCCUGUAGCACGUCCAUGUGUUCGUUCUCGAGAAUAAGCUGGGGGAGCGCCACCGGCCACAACAUGCCAUCAUCCAUCUGUGUACAACCUACUGUGAUCAUGACGGGGCAAGGUGACUCUGGCAACUUCACAAGAGCCGCAAUGUUCCACACCGACGGCGGUGGCGAGAAUAAAGAGCCUGCAAUGGCUGCUGCUCCAGAUGGUCGAGGCUAAUUUGUUGUCCUGCAUCUAUUUCCAAAGUUUCUCCACAAAACGUGAAUGUCUCAUUCUGUGAUUGACUGAUACGUCUCCAACGUAACUAUAAUUUUUUAUUGAUCCAUGCUAUAUUAUCUUCUGUUUUGGACAUUAUUGGGCUUUAUUAUCCACUUUUAUAUUAUUUUUGGUACUAACCUAUUAACCGAAGGCCCAACCCAGAAUUGCUGUUUUUUUGCCUGUUUUAGGGUUUCGAAGAAAAGGAAUAUCAAACGGAGUCCAAACGGAAUGAAACCUUCGGGAACAUGAUUUUCUCAUCUAAUACAACUCAGGAGACUUGGACCCUGUGUCAAGACACGUAACAGGAGGCCACGAGGUAGGGGGCGCGCCUACCCCCCAAGCGCGCCCUCCACCCUCAUGGGCCCCCUGUUGCUUCACCGACGUACUUCUUUGUAGCGACCAGACCUCAAACAAUCUGAUCUCUGUGCUCCGGUGUCAUCCCUGGAUCAGUAAUGCUGACACCAUACAGUACUUGAAGGAUUUAUAACAGAAUAGCAAUCACACACUUAUUACAUUGAGUGUCUCAAAAGAGAACUUAUUACAAUAGAUAUGGCUUAAGGCCAUCUAAUAACGAUAACAGCGGAAGGCUUGGAAGAUAAGUGAGUCCAUCAACUCCAACGGCAUCACUGAGUAUAGAACCACGACCUAAAACUCCUUAAUCAUCGUCUGAAAAGUCUGCAACAUUAACGUUGCAGCCCGAAAAUGGGUCAGCACAUGGAAUAUGCUGGCAAUGUAACACAUAGAGAGUAAUGGAAUGAAACAGCUAUUCUAUAUGCAUCUUUGGCUGGUGGAAAGCUCUAUGGUUACAGUUUUGCGUAAAGCCAAUUUUUCCCUACUGCAAAGGAAUAAAUUUAUUUAACUAUCAUGGUGGUUGUUAAACAUUGAGAAUGGUUGACAACAUUCUCAAUCCCAAUUAAACAUCAUUAAACAAAACCCAACAAAAUUAAUUUAGAGUAACAUGUUGAGAUUCACAUGAUAAUCCAAGUACUAGAUACUCAAGAUGUCCAUAACCGGGGACACGGCUAAUCAUGAUUAGUUUAUACACUCUGCAGAGGUUUGCAUACUUUUCCCCACAAGACUCGAUCGCCUCCGUUUGGUUUCUCGCACUACAUGGUGUUUGAGAAGACGGAUGACCAAGACAUAGUCUUUCAGAAGCGCUAGCACCUUACGAUCGGGUAGACCGUACCACCUACAUCCCCUACAUCUGCUAGUUUACCACUGUAAGAGUUCGCACGACUUAGUCAACUAUGCUAGAGCCCAUAAUAGCUUGUGGCUGCACACGGAAGUUUCUAGCAUGAAUAAUCUCAUGAUCCCUUUGAGCCUGGGUGGCGGUCCAAAAGAAAACAGGCAAAUCCUGGAAUACCCAGGUACCUCAAUCCACCCAGAUGUGUGUUUAAGUUGCCACCUUAGAUAACCCAUUAAUUAACAAUCUCACAUCUGUCAUGGAUAUCACUCACCCAAUCCACGUCUACUAGCAUAGCAUGGCAUAAUAAGCAAACGUAGAAGUAACUCCCAAAGGUUUGAUAAUAAACUGGUAAUAGGUACUACCUCAACUACUUCCCAUCCCACAAUUUAAUUAGAUCCUAAUCAUGUAAUGUUUGAGGAUUGAUCUAAUGCAAUAAAACUGGGUAGUAGGAGAUAUGGUCAAAGUGUUACUUGCCUUGCUGAUGAUCCGUGAAACCUAGAGAUUCGAAGUAAAAGGCGGCGCACUCCGGGUAUUCUAUCACAGACAAACAAACAAGCAUACAAUAAGUACUCAUCUAAUGCACAGGUAAAAGUCAAAUAAGAGAACUAACCAGAAAGUUCAACUUAAGAACUCCGGUUUGCAAAAAGAAUCAAAUCGAACGAGACAACGAAAGUCAAAUGGCGAAAGAAAAAAACUUUGUUCUACUAAUCUGGAUCUAAGACAUUUUUUACAGUGGCAAAAACUUGUUUAAGUUGGUUAAACGGAUAGAGGGUUUCGAGGCCAAACUCCACGCGCUUGAAUCGUCUGAUUCCGAUAAACGAGCGAAAAGUUAUACUAAAACGAAAGUCGGAUCAGAAAUCGCGAUCAGAAAAUAAUCGCGGAAAAUCCGAGAAAAAGAAAAACGACGAACGGAUUAACGAACGAACGUUCGUUAACUGGAUCUAAACGCCGAAUACGUUCGUUAAAACGAACGAACGAGCGAACGCUCGUUAUUUAGACUAAACCGGAAAUAAAACCGAUUAAAUAAUAAAAAACCUAAAAAAACCGACGAAAACCGACGGAAAACCAGUCGGUUUUUUUUCGAGAAAAACCGGGGCGCGGAAAACGAGGUGACCUCGGGCGGCGGAUCGGCGAGGCGAUGGCGCGGGCGGCGGCACGGGGUUCGAGGGGCGCGGCUAGGGUUUGGCUCGGGGCUAGGCUGCCCCGGCUUAUAAAGCCUGCCGGGCCAGAGUCCCAGGCGGACACGGCCCGGUUAGGUGAGUGCACGUUUUUUUAAAUAAUUAUGCGCAGAAGAAAAAUAAAAAUAAAUACUAAACGGACUCCAAAAAUCCCGAAAUAAAUUUUCCCCGACUUCUAAAAUCAAGCGGAAAAAGUGAACAUUUAUUUGGGGCCUAAAUGCAAUUUUGAAAAAUGCACAUUUUUCCUAAAUUCAAAUAAAAUAUCAAAAAACUCCGGAAUAAAAUCUUAUUUAAUUUUUUUUAUUAAAUCCUCAAUAUUUCUUUAUUUUUGGAAUGCCAUUUUAUUCCCUCUCUCGUAUUUUUGUAAUAGAAAUAAUUGAUGAUAAAAUAAAAUGAUCCUAUUCUCAAAAUUUGAGAAAACUCAGAUAUGAAAAUAACGAAAUCCCCAACUCUCUCCGUGGGUCCUUGAGUUGCGUAGAAUUUCUAGGAUCGAAGCCAAAAGCAAAUAAAAUAUGAUAUGUAAUGAUGAUCUAAUGUAUAACAUUCCAAAUUGAAAAUUUGGGAUGUUACAAACCUACCCCCCUUAAGAUGAAUCUCGCCCUCGAGAUUCGGGUUGGCUAGAAAAUAGGUGAGGGUGGUCCUUGAGCAAAUCUUCGUCUCACUCCCAGGUGGCUUCGUCCUCCGUGUGGUGGCUCCACUGAACUUGAUAGAACUUGAUAACCUUGCUGCGAGUGACUCGGCUGGCAAACUCGAGAAUCUUAAUUGGUUUCUCCUCAUAGGUCAAAUUGUUAUCCAACUAGAUGGCUUCCAAUGGCACUGUAUCCCUCAAUGGUAUGUCAGCCAUCUCCGCGUGGCAUUUCUUCAACUGAGAAACGUGGAACACAUCAUGAACUCCGGACAAUCCUUCGGGCAAUUCCAACUUGUAGGCCACUUCUCCCAUACGUUCCAAUACUCGGUAUGGUCCUACAAAUCAUGGUGCUAACUUUCCCUUAACUCCAAAACGCUUUGUUCCCCGAAGUGGUGAUACUCGAAGAUAAGCUCUAUCUCCAACUUUGUAAACUAUCUCCUUGCAUUUAGAAUCUGCAUAACUCUUCUGUCUGGACUGGGCUAUCUUGAGCCUAUUGCGAAUCAAUUUCACCUUCUAUUCAGACUCCUUAAUCAAGUCAGGUCCAAACAAUUGGCGGUCUCCAACUUCAUCCCACGACAACGGUGUCCUGCACCUUCUUCCGUACAAGGCUUCGAAAGGGGCCAUCUUUAAUCUGGACUGAUAGCUGUUGUUGUAAGAGAACUCUGCAUAUGGCAAAUUGUCGUCCCAACUAGAUCCGUAAUCUAGCACACAAGCUCUCAGCAUAUCCUCCAAAAUCUGAUUGACUCUCUCGGUCUGUCCAUCUGUCUGUGGAUGAAAAGCUGUACUGAAUUCUAGCCUGGUUCCCAAGGUUUCGUGCAACUGCUUCCAGAACUUUGAGGUAAACUGGGUUCCUCUAUCUGAUACGAUACUCCUUGGAACUCCAUGCAGACAUAUGAUCCUGGUCAUGUAUAUGUUUGCCAACUUUGCACUGGUAUAGGUAGUCUUCACGGGAAUGAAAUGAGCUACCUUUGUCAAACGAUCGACUACAACCCAUAUCGAGUCAUAGCCUGAACGUGUUCUGGGCAACCCUGUAAUAAAAUCCAUGCAUAGCUUAUCCCACUUCCAUUCGGGUAUCGGCAAUGGUUGUAGCAAUCCUGCUGGCUUCUAAUGCUCUGCCUUCACUCUCUGACAUACAUCACAAACUGCUACGUACUUCGCAAUAUCCUUCUUCAUUCCGGUCCACCAGAAAAUAUCCUUCAAAUCCUAAUACAUCUUGGUAUUUCCUGGGUGAAUCGAAUAUGGUGAAUCAUGCGCCUCUUGCAGUAUUAACUCCCUGAUCUCCGGGUCAUUGGGCACGUAAACACGGCCUUCAAACCAUAAGGUAUCGUGCUCGUCCUCACGAAAUCCUUUAGCCUUUCCCUUGCUAAGUUUCUCCUUAAUAGAAGCAAUCUCCUUGUCAGUCCUUUGGGCUUCUCUGAUUUUAUCCAUCAAUGUAGACUGAAUCUCUAAUGCUGCUACAUAGCCUCUCGGGACUAUUUCUAAACAUAACUCUCGAAGAUUUUCGACUAACUCCCUUGGUAAUUCUCCCGUCAUUAGGGUGUUGACAUGACUCUUACGGCUUAAUGCGUCGGCUACUACAUUAGCCUUUCCGAGGUGAGAAUGCAAUUUCAUAUCAUAAUCCUUGAUGAGCUCCAACCAUCUCCUUUGUCUGAGAUUCAACUCCUUCUGUGUGAAAAUAUACUUCAAACUCUUAUGAUCCGUAUACACCUCGCAAUGGUUUCCAAUCAGAAAAUGUCUCCAAGUCUUCAGUGCAUGCACUAUGGCUGCUAACUCCAAAUCAUGCGUAGCAUAAUUCAACUCAUGAGGCUUAAGCUGUCGUGAGGCAUAUGAAACAACUCUCCCUUCCUGCAUAAGCACUGCUCCAAGUCCUCGACGUGAAGCGUCGCAAUACACCUCAUAAUCCUUGGUCUGGUCUGGCAAAAUCAACACUGGUGAAGUAACCAAACAUUUCUUCAACUCCUGGAAACUAGCCUCACAUUCCUCCGUCCAUAUGAACUUGGUAUCCUUCUUCAACAACUCUGUCAUAGGCUUCGCAAUCUUUGAGAAAUUCUCAAUAAACCUCCGGUAGUAUCCUGCGAGUCCAAGAAAACUCCGGAUCUCUCCCACGGUGGUUGGUGCUUCCCACUUGGUCACGGUAUCAACUUUAGUGGGAUCUACUGCUAUACCUUCUUCGGAUAUAACGUGUCCGAGAAAUCCAACUUCCUUCAACCAAAACUCACAUUUGCUAAACUUGGCAUAUAGUUGAUGUUCCCUGAGCUUUCCAAGAACCAAACGCAAAUGUUCCUUAUGCUCCUCUUCAUUCUUUGAGUAAACCAGGAUAUCAUCAAUGAACACUAUGACGAACUUAUCCAAAAACUCCAUAAACACUUUGUUCAUCAUGUCCAUAAAAUAUGCAGGUGCAUUAGUCAGACCAAAUGACAUAACGGUAUACUCGUAUAGCCCAUACCUGGUGGUAAAAGCCGUCUUGGGUAUGUCCUGUUCCCGAAUCUUCAACUGGUGGUAUCCUGAUUGCAGAUCGAUCUUGGAAAAUACCUUAGCUCCUUGCAAUCGAUCGAAUAGAUCAUUGAUCAUCGGUAGUGGGUACUUGUUCUUGAUGGUUACUUCAUUCAAUCCUCGAUAAUCGACAACCAUCCUUAACGAUCCAUCCUUCUUUUCUACUAGAAGUACUGGCGAUCCCCAAGGUGAAGAACUUGGGCGAAUAUAACCUUUAUCCAGUAACUCCUUUAUUUGCUUCUUAAUUUCCACCAAAUCCUUUGCAGGCAUCCUGUAUGGUCUCUUCGAUAUUGGCCCUGUGCCUGGCAAUAGCUCAAUCAAAAACUCAAUGUCUCUAUCCGGUGGCAUGCCUGGCAACUCCUAUAGAAAUACAUCAGGGAAUUCCUUUACCACUGGUACUUCCUCCUGCACAACUCUUGUUAAGCAAUUUACUUGAGUCCUCUUUGGCACAUGUCGGGAUACAUACUUGAUCCUUCUCCCUUCUGGGGUGGUAAGCAAAAUUGACUUACUAGCACAUCCAAUAUUCCCUUCAUACUUUGAUAACCAAUCCAUGCCUAAUAUCACAUCCAAUCCUUAGGAUUCCAAUACUAUUAGGUCUGAGGGAAAAACAUAGUUACCAAUCCUUAAUGGUAACCGAUCACACCAUAGACUAGCCAUAUAUUCUGCUCCAGGCGAGGUUACUAACAUGGGUGACCUAAGGGCUUGGGUUGGCAGUUUAUACUUAUCCACAAAUCCCCUGGAUAUGUAUGAAUGCGAUGCACCAGUAUCAAAAAGAACAAGUGCAGUAAAUGACUUAACCAAAAACUUACCUAUUACUACAUCAGGCUGAGCUUCAACCUCCUCCACGCUAACGUGGUUCACCUGUCCCCUAUUGAAAGGGUUCGGCUUCUUCCUAGAGCUUCCAUUGCUAUUUCCAUUUUGUAAUUCAGGACAUUCAUUGGCAUAAUGUCCGGUCUUUGAACACUUAAAGCAAGUGACUUGGCUCAGGUCUUUCUUGGCUGGGGUUGAUGGGUUGGUGCGGUUCUGGCCGUUGCUUCCUCCAUUACCAUUACCAUUCCUGGGGCCGUUGUGAUUGUGCGAGCUACCUCCUCCAUGGGUAUGCUGAAAAUGUCCUCCCGGUCUGGGGGUAAAUCGUGGCUUCUGCUGAGCUCCUGAAUUGUACUUUCCUUGUGCAUACUUCCUCUUGCGAUUUUCAAUUUGCUGCUGCUUCCCUUCAAUCAUAAGAGCACGAUCUACCAACUCUUGGUAGUUGUUGAAGGUUGCUACCAUCAACUGCAUGCUCAACUCAUCAUUCAGUCCUUCCAGAAACUUCUCCUGCUUAGCUGCAUCCGUAGCAACGUCAUCUGGGGCAUAACGUGCUAAUUUACUAAAGUCCUCCACAUACUGGCCAACUGUCCGUCCUCCUUGGUGCAAGUUGCGAAAUUCUCGCUUCUUCAUGGCCAUAGCUCCUGCUGAAACAUGGGCAGUUCGAAAAGCCUACUGAAACUGGUCCCAUGUGACAGUGUCAACAGGGAAAGUGGUUGUGAAAUUCUCCCACCAUGAUGCUGCGGGUCCUUCAAGCUGAUGUGCGGCAAACUUCACCUUCUCCGCGUCCGUGCAUCCUGCGGUAGUCAACUCUCUAGCUGUCUUGCAGAGCCAAUCAUCUGCUACUAUCGGCUCGGUGCUACUGGAAAACACCGGCGGAUUCAGCCUAAGAAAACGGGCUAAAUGAUCAACAGGUGGUGGUGGUGGUGGGUUGUUGUUGUUGUUCCCCUGAUUCUGAUUCUGGACUAGCAACUGCAUCAAUGUGUUCUGCUGCUGGAUCAACUGAGUGAGCUCCGGUGGAAAGGUAAAUCCGGAGUCACGUCUCGGAGGCAUCUGAGGGUUUAGAAAAGAUGAGGUUUAAGAAUAGAGGGGGUCUAAAUAUAAAACACUACCCAUAUGCACAUGAGGCAAAAGCAAACAAUUCACUUCAUUCAUUCAAUCAAACAAGGGCAUACAAUCAAUCUAACUAUCGCAAAAGUGCUCGGACUAUAAUAUUUACAUGGUGGACUACUACUACUGAUGAGGUGGUCUACUAGAAAUAUUCUUCGGUUGCAGACUCCAUGAUAUCUGCUCCGUCUUCAUCAACAUAGUCACCAUCGCUAUCAUCUGGAUCCGAGUCGGUGUCGUCGAUGAUGAUGUAGUCUUCCGGGUGAAUCUCCUUGGGUUUUUCGUCUUCAUCUACUGGUGUAGGGCCUCCCAUAAAUAUCCCGAUCUUCAUUGUUAGGUCGGCAUUCUUGUCCACCAAUACUUCAAUUUCUUCUUCAUAAUCUUCACAUGUAGCCUUGAGUUCUUCCUCCAGUUCCUUGAUUCUUGUCAUUGCCUUCUUCAGGUCUAUCAUGUCGGCGCACAUCUGGUUCUCCUGUCGUCGAAUGUGCUGGUUUAACUCCUGGAUAAAAGCUGCAACUAAUCUAUCCUUCCUGGUGCUGAUCAUCUCCCAGUGCUCAUCUCGGCGUCCACAAAUCUGGUAGAUAGUAUCCUUGAGAUCAUUGCGGUAGACUUCUCCAAUGCGUCCCAUGGCGAUGAGAGCUGCCAUGCUCUUUCCUAGACUCCAAGUUGGUGCAUCAAAAGAAAACUCUAUGGGCUCAGUGACUGGCAUGAACGCCCUUCCUGGAACUUGAACUUGAAUCAUCCAGCGCUCUUCUUCAGGUAAAGUGGCGUUGUAGGUUCCGGUGAAGCUUGGUACUCCCAUGUUCAGGUAUCUAGUGACUUCCUUCAAGUGACGUCCAAAGGGUGUAUCUUCAUCCGGUUGCGUGAACUUGUUCCUUGCAUCCGCCAUCCUAAAGAGUAGAAAAGAUGAUAGGUCAGAAGAGAAGAGAGUGAAUAGUGAUCUAGAUCUUUAGCUUAGUGGUCGUGUCCUACAGUCAGCGUGUGCUCUGAUACCAUCUCUGUAGCGACCAGACCUCAAAUAGCCUGAUCUCUGUGCUCCGGUGUCAUCCCUGGAUCAGUAAUGCUGACACCACACAGUACUUGAAGGAUUUAUAACAGAGUAGCAAUCACACACUUAUUACAUCGAGUGUCUCAAAAGAGAACUUAUUACAAUAGAUAUGGCUUAAGGCCAUCUAAUGACGAUAACAGCGGAAGGCUUGGAAGAUAAGUGAGUCCAUCGACUCCAACGGCAUCACCGAGUAUAGAACCAUGACCUAAAACUCCUUAAUCAUCUUCUGAAAAGUCUGCAACAUUAACGUUGCAGCCCGAAAACGGGUCAGCACAUGGAAUAUGCUGGCAAUGUAACACAUAGAGAGUAAUGGAAUGAAACGGCUAUUCUAUAUGCAUCUUUGGCUGGUGGAAAGCUCUAUGGUUACAGUUUUGCGUAAAGCCAAUUUUUCCCUACUGCAAAGGAAUAAAUUUAUUUAACUAUCAUGGUGGUUGUUAAACAUUGAGAAUGGUUGACAGCAUUCUCAAUCCCAAUUAAACAUCAUUAAACAAAACCCAACAAAAUUAAUUUAGAGUAACAUGUUGAGAUUCACAUGAUAAUCCAAGUACUAGAUACUCAAGAUGUCCAUAACCGGGGACACAGCUAAUCAUGAUUAGUUUAUACACUCUGUAGAGGUUUGCACACUUUUCCCCACAAGACUCGAUCGCCUCCGUUUGGUUUCUCGCACUACAUGGUGUUUGAGAAGACGGAUGACCGAGACAUAGUCUUUCAGAAGCGCUAGCACCUUACGAUCGGGUAGACCGUACCACCUACAUCCCCUACAUCUGCUAGUUUACCACUAUAAGAGUUCGCACGACUUAGUCAACUAUGCUAGAGCCCAUAAUAGCUUGUGGCUGCACACGGAAGUUUCUAGCAUGAAUAAUCUCAUGCUCCCUUUGAGCCUAGGUGGUGGUCCAAAAGAAAACAGGCAAAUCCUGGAAUACCCAGGUACCUCAAUCCACCCAGAUGUGUGUUUAAGUUGCCACCUUAGAUAACCCAUUAAUUAACAAUCUCACAUCUGUCAUGGAUAUCACUCACCCAAUCCACGUCUACUAGCAUAGCAUGGCAUAAUAAGCAAACGUAGAAGUAACUCCCAAAGGUUUGAUAAUAAACUGGUAAUAGGUACUACCUCAACUACUUCCCAUCCCACAAUUUAAUUAGAUCCUAAUCAUGCAAUGUUUGAGGAUUGAUCUAAUGCAAUAAAACUAAGUAGUAGGAGAUAUGGUCAAAGCGUUACUUGUCUUGCUGAUGAUCCGCGAAACCUAGAGAUUCGAAGUAAAAGGCGGCGCACUCCGGGUAUUCUAUCGCAGACAAACGAACAAGCAUACAAUAAGUACUCAUCUAAUGCACAGGUAAAAGUCAAAUAAGAGAACUAACCAGAAAGUUCAACUUAAGAACUCCGGUUUGCAAAAAGAAUCAAAUCGAACGAGACAACGAAAGUCAAACGGCGAAAGAAAACAACUUCGUUCUACUAAUAUGGAUCUAAGACAAUUUUUUUUACAGUGGCAAAAACUUGUUUAAGUUGGUUAAACGGAUAGAGGGUUUUGAGACAAAACUCCAGGUGCUUGAACCGCCUGAUUCCGAUAAACGAGCGAAAAGUUAUACUAAAACGAAAGUCGGAUCAGAAAUCACGAUCAAAAAAUAAUCACGGAAAAUCCGAGAAAAAGAAAAACGACGAACGGAUUAACGAACGUUCGUUAACCGGAUCUAAACGACGAAUACGUUCGUUAAAACGAACGAAUGAGCGAACGCUCGUUAUUUAGACUAAACCAGAAAUAAAACCGAUUAAAUAAUAAUAAUAAAACCCUAAAAAACACCGACGAAAACAGACGGAAAACCAAUCGGUUUUUUUUCGAGAAAAACCGGGGCGCGGAAAACGAGGCGACCUCGGGUGGCGGAUCGACGAGGCGGCGGGCGGCGGCNNNNNNNNNNNNNNNNNNNNNNNNNNNNNNNNNNNNNNNNNNNNNNNNNNNNNNNNNNNNNNNNNNNNNNNNNNNNNNNNNNNNNNNNNNNNNNNNNNNNNNNNNNNNNNNNNNNNNNNNNNNNNNNNNNNNNNNNNNNNNNNNNNNNNNNNNNNNNNNNNNNNNNNNNNNNNNNNNNNNNNNNNNNNNNNNNNNNNNNNNNNNNNNNNNNNNNNNNNNNNNNNNNNNNNNNNNNNNNNNNNNNNNNNNNNNNNNNNNNNNNNNNNNNNNNNNNNNNNNNNNNNNNNNNNNNNNNNNNNNNNNNNNNNNNNNNNNNNNNNNNNNNNNNNNNNNNNNNNNNNNNNNNNNNNNNNNNNNNNNNNNNNNNNNNNNNNNNNNNNNNNNNNNNNNNNNNNNNNNNNNNNNNNNNNNNNNNNNNNNNNNNNNNNNNGCGCGGCUAGGGUUUGGCUUGGGGCUGGGCUGCCCCAGCUUAUAAAGCCAGCCGGACCAGAGUCCCAGACGAACACGACCCGGUUAGGUCGGUGCGCGUUUUUUUAAAUAAUUACGCGCAAAAGAAAAAUAAAAAGAUAUACUAAACGGACUCCAAAAAUCCCGAAAUAAAUUUUCACCGACUUUUAAAAUCAAGCCGGAAAAAGUGAACAUUUAUUUGGGGCCUAAAUGCAAUUUUGAAAAACACACAUUUUUCCUAAAUUCAAAUAAAAUAUCGAAAAACUCCGGAAUAAAAUCUUAUUUGAUUUUUUAUUAAAUCCUCAAUAUUUGUUUAUUUUGGGAAAGUCAUUUUAUUCCCUCUCUCAUAUUUUUGUAAUAGAAAUAAUUGAUGAUAAAAUAAAUAAAAUAAAAUGAUACUAUUCUCAAAAUUUGAGAAAACUCAAAUAUGAAAAUAACGAAAUCCCCAACUCUCUCCGUGGGUCCUUGAGUUGCGUAGAAUUUCUAGGAUCGAAGCCAAAAGCAAAUAAAAUAUGAUAUGCAAUGAUGAUCUAAUGUAUAACAUUUCAAAUUGAAAAUUUGGGAUGUUACAUUCUUCCUCCUAUAUAUACCCACUAUAACGCCCUGGAUGCGGCUAUAUCUCCCACGUGUCGAAGCACGACUUAGAGGCAUAACCGCAUUAAAAGCAAUGUUGCAAGUGAGGUAAUCUUCAUACAACCCAUGUAAUACAUAAGGAAAAAAGAUACAUAGUUGGCUUACAAUCGCCACUUCACACAAUACAUGAAUAAAGCAUUACAUCAUCCUGAUACAAUCAAGGUCCGACUACGAAACCAAAAUAAAAGAAGACUACCCCAAAAGCUACACAGAUCCCCGAUCGUCCCAACCGGGCUCCACUACCGAUCAACUAGCAACAGAACAACAUAAAGAACACGAUCUUCAUCGAGCUCCGCCUUCAGCUCGGUUGCGUCACCUGCAUGCUUUCAUCGGCACCUGCAAGCUGUUUUUGGAAGUAUCUGUGAGUCACGGGGACUCAGCAAUCUCACACCCUCACGAUCAAGACUAUUUAAGCUUAUAGGAAGGGUAAAAGGUAUGAGGUGGUGCUGUAGCAAGCGACUAGCAUAUUUGGUGGCUAACAUAUACGCAAAUGAGAGCGAGAAGAGAAGGUAAAAGCAUGGUCGAACAACUAUGAUCAAGAAGUGAUCCUAGAACAACCUACGUCAAGCAUUACUCCAACACCGUGUUCACUUCUCGGACUCCACCGAGAAGAGACCAUCACGGUUACACACGCGGUUGAUGUAUUUUAAUUAAGAUCAACUUCAGGUUUUCUACAACCGGACAUUAACAAAUUCCCAUCUGCCCAUAACCGUGGGCACGGCUUUCGAAAGUUCAAAUCCCUGCAGGGGUGUCCCAACUUAGCCCAUCACAAGCUCUCACGGUCAACGAAGGAUAUUCCUUCUCCCAAGACAAUCCAAUUAGACUCGGCAUCCCGGUUACAAGACAUCCUCGACAAUGGUAAAACAAGCCCAGCAAAGCCGCCCGAAUGUGCCGACAAAUCCCGAUAGGAGCUACACAUAUCUCGUUCUCAGGGCACACUCAGAUAGGUCAAGCUACGAGUAAAACUAGCCCUCGAGUUUCCUCGAGGUGGCCCCACAGGCUGCCCGUUUCGGACCAACACUUAGAGAAGCACUGCCCCGGGGGGGGGGGGGUUAAAAUAAAGAUGGCCCUUGAGUCUGCAGAACCCAAGGGAAGGUGGUAGGUUGUUAGUGCAAAUGGUAAAACCAAGGUUGGGCCAUGCUGGAGGAGUUUUAUUCAAGGCGAACUGUCAAGGGGUUCCCAUUAUAACCCAACCGUUUAAGGAACGCAAAAUCCGGGAACAUAACAUCGAUAUGCCGGAAACUAGGGCGGUAAGAGUGGAACAAAACACCAGGCAUAAGGCCGAGCCUUCCACCCUUUACCAAGUAUAUAGAUGCAUUAAUUAAAUAAGAGAUAUUGUGAUAUCCCAACAAAAUAUCCAUGUUCCAACAAGGAACAAAUUCCAAUCUUCACCUGCAACUAACAACGUUAUAAGAGGGGCUGAGCAAAGCGGUAACAUAGCCAAACAACGGUUUGCUAGGACAAGGUGGGUUAGAGGCUUGGCUCAACAAUAUGGGAGGCAUGAUAAGCAAGUGGUAGGUAUCUUAGCAUACGCAUAGCAAAAGAGCGAGAAACUAGCAAGCAAAAAUAGAAGUGAUUUUGAGGGUACGGUCAUCUUGCCUGAAAUUCCGCAAGGAAGAAGAACGAGUCCAUGAAGAAGACAAACUGACAUAGUCAAACGGGUCCUCACAAACGUGACGUUAACAGAACCAACCCGAAGAAGCAACACCGGAAAGAAGCACACAACAUAGUAAACAACCAACACAUGAACAUGGUAUGAUAUGCGGGAUGUGGUAUGCGGUGCAUAUGCAUGAUUUGGAAAGGAAUGAUUGAACCUGGCUUCAACAUGGAAAUCCAAGAGUGCCACUGGAAAGGUGAGGUGAUUUUGGUCGAAAUCGAUAUAAAGAUCACCGGAAUCGGAUGCACGGCUUGGAAAUGGCAAGCCAAACUAAUAUGGCACCAGUCUGCGAUAAACAGCAAGUAGCCAUCUAAAUGCAUCAAGUUAAAUAUGCUACAUCACUCAAACAUAGCAACAAAAUACAUGGUAGGGAUCCACUCCUGAAUCUUGACAAAAGAUGAACACUGAGCUACGGCUAAUUCACUCAAUAGCAGGUUCAAACAAGCAUUGAAAAAGUGCAAAAGAUUACAGGUUACAGACUUAGUGAAAUUAACAACAUAUCAGGAAUUUAUCAUCAGGAAGCAAUGUUUAGAGCAAUAAAACAACAUGCUACAGGAAUAUAUGAUGGCAAAGCAAGGCAUGGCAUGAAGCUACUCUAAGAAUAUAACAAAAGUCCCUUAGUGACCAUGAGACAAAAGGGAUCAGAAAAUACAAUUGCAAGCAUGUGAACAUAGCAAAAACAUAAACAAAUUCAGUCUUAGUGAAAAAACUGGAACAUGCAAAACAGAUUAACAAGUAGGCAUGUUUACAAGCUCGAUGCACUCACUACGAGGCAUUGCAUGACAAGCUAAGCAUACACCCAGCAAAUAGACAUGGCAUAGAAGCUAGACAUGACAAGAACAACAACAUAGCAUGCAUGGUUCAACAACAACAAGCUUGGCAAAAUCGCUAAACAUGUUAACAAUCUGCCAGGAACAUUUUAUAGGAAAAGUAGAGCUCGAUUGACUCAAGCUAGGGUGCUCCAUAAUUGCAAACAAAGACAUGGAUGGAUUGAGCACAACAUUAUCUACAAAACAUCCUUACUGAUCAUGCUCAAAAGAGGCACGGAUCACUAGGAAACAACAUGAACAUAUGGCAUAAAAAUAAUGACAGGGCAAGGACUUAGUGAAAUUCUAAGUCCCUGAAAACAAAAUCAUUGAGUAAGCUACUUUGCAUGCUUGUGCUAGUCACCACAAAGAUCACAAAAAUACAUGGCAUACACCCUUUAAAGAUGGCAUGGCAUAUUACAAAACACAUGUAGAGCUCAGGAUCAUAGCAUGCGCACAUUAAUCAUGGCAAAAAUGACAAAAUGCCAUUUGCUGAAACAGAUCUGACAUAAUCAUCACAUAGUCCUCUUCCAACAGCAUUUCGGGCACCAAGAUGAGCUCAAAUGAAAAUGAUGCAAUGAGAUAAAAUGAUGUACUCGUCGAGACGAACAUUUUGAUAUGCUACACGCACGAAUCGGAGCUACGAUGAGGAAGUUAUGAUGCGUCAAAGAUUGCAAAAUAUUUAGGGUUUGGAGGGGAAAAGGUCAACCGAUACGUCUUCCAGAUCCAGAUCGGAUCCGGCGGGAUCACUGUAGACGCACGCACCCCGAGGUUCGCCGGAGUCGCUCGUCGGAGAAGCGCCGGGGACUUGCCGCGGUGGCCGGACUGGAGGAGUUCACCGGCGUGGAGGAGGAGGGCAGGGCGCGCGGCGGUCGGAGCAACGAGGGGCGGCGCGCGGCACUCGAGGAAGCAGGCGAGGCGACAGACCCGGUCGCCGGAGACGGAGCGGCCCGGUGCUUCCAAGGCGGCGACGGUGGAACUCGCCGGCGGCGGAAGGCGGCGGGGCGCUCGUGUCCGCAGGGUGCAGUGGCGGACGCGGUCGGGCUCACGCGGGCCCGCGAUGGGCUUCGCGGGCCGACGGCGCGGGGACGGGUGGCGCGAUAUGAUUCGCUGAGGCGGUGGUGCAGGGUGACGUGGCGGCUCGCCAUUGGUCGGGCGACGUUGUGGCGGCUGGCGGACAUGUCCGACGCGGUGAGGACGCGUCCGGCGGCGCGAGGGGAGGGGUUUUUAGGGUUUUGUCCGCGAAUUUCGGAGAGGGAGAUGUUUAUAUAGGUAGAGGGAGCUAGGAGAGUCCAAAUGAGGUGCGGUUUGCGGCCACACGAUCGUGAUCGAACGACCGAGAUGAUAGAAGGGGUUUAGGUGGGUUUUGGGCCACUUUGGAGGGGUGUUGGGCUGCAACACACAUGAGGCCUUUUCGGUCCCUCGGUUAACCGUUGGAGUAUCAAACGAAGUCCAAAUGGACGAAACUUGACAGGCGGUCUACCGGUAGUAAACCAAGGCCACAUGGGAAGUCUCGGUCCAAUCCGAAAACUUUUAACACCCGCACACAAGAAGAGGUAGAAAGGGACACUGAGUGACAUAGGAGCGCCGGAUUAUAAAACGGACAACGGGGAAAAUGCUCGGAAGCAUGAGACGAACAUGUAUGCAAAUGAAAUGCACAUGAUGACAUGAUAUGAAAUGCAUGACACGCAAGCAAUGACAUGGAAACAACAACGAAUAACUAGAAGACACCUGGCACAUCGGUCUCGGGGCGUUACAACACUCCACCACUACGAGAGGAUCUCGUCCUGAGAUCUAGAAUGGCACCGGAGGGAAAACGGAAGAGAAAAAGAAGAGGUAAAACUAAGUUGCUUCUUUGACAAACGAAUGAGACAAAAGAACCUUGAAAAGGUUGAGCAAAUUGAAAGAAAGAAAGCAACAGAGAAGAACAAAGUUGAAAGCACUCCGGUAGGGAAGAGUAACAAGGAGAACAAACUCGGACAACACUCUGGUUGACAAGAAAGGAAUUUAAUAAGAACUUGGUAAGAUGAGAAGAUACUUGAUGAAAUCACAACAUAAUGCCUCUAGAACUAUUGAAUGAAUGGAACAAGGGGUAAGAAAGAUCUCAGACAGCACUCCGGUUGGAAAGAGAUACAAGGGCUGAUAAGGCGAAAAGAGCUUGAGCAAAAGGGCACAACUCUCCGGUUAAAUGGAUAGGCAUGAAAAGAACAUGAUCUUUUGACAAAACGAAAUGAUGGGUGAAAAAACAACAACAUCGCAAUGCCUCCGGAACGACUGUAAGAAUGGAUUCAAAAGAACGGAGAGGAAAGCAAUGUCUUUAGGAGAAGGGUCGAACGGAGUUGUUGGAAAACCAACAACGAAAAAGGAUAAGCUUGAUAUGGUCUUAUGGAAUACAUCUCAAAUUAUGAGGUGACAACAUGCCACUCAUGGCAAAAAGAAUUGGAUUGGUAUGAACAAGGAGAUGAGAAAGCUAUUUCACCAGGAGGAUAGAUGAAGAACUUGGGUCAUUUAUGAGCACCAUAGAUAGCAACAAUCCUUAGGGAAAGCUUUAGGUGAAAUAUAACCCAAGACAACUCCAAUGAAGAGAUUGAUGGGUUUAAAUAUCUCAUUCUUGUGAAUGAGGAAUGAUAUCUUACCACCUCAAAAGAUAAGGGAGAACAUUUUCACUCCGGAUUGCAAGAUGAAGAGAAAAAACUUGAGCUCCUCCAAAAAGAAUCUCAAUGAACACUUCGAGAAGGAAUUAAAUCCUUGAUGAACCAUCAUGUAGAGCCUCCAUGAAGAACUCCGGUAACAAAAUGAUGAUAAAAAGAAAGAGAAGUUGAAAACACAAGGUGAAGCCUUGUAAUGAUUUAGAUGGAUCUUCGUGAUGAUGAGAGCUUGGAACUCCGGGAAAAGAAAAGGAUGAAACAAUUGAAAUAGAGAAUUUGAUGAACCUCCGGAAUAAGGAAUAGAAUUUACUCGAUGAAACAAGAAUAAGAAUUACAUUAUGCUUAUCCUUCACCAAUUUAAAUUGAUGACAAGAAACGGAUUUGGCACACUAUUUAUUCUCGUAGCAAGGAUUAAGAGAGAUAUAACAUAAACUUGAGAAUGUCUUCAAGAAACCAGUGGUAGGAUUGGAACAACGAAUGAAUCGAUAUGACACCAAGGAAGAGAACUCUUGAACGAACCACCGUAAGGAUUGAAAAUGAAUGAAGUAAAGGGAUGAAUCACUGGUAAUAAUUAGCAAAUGAACGAAGAUACAAGAGAGAGUUUAGAUACAAAAGAACGAAGAGACCAUGAACUGCUUAGAGGAUAUUUGAUCGAUGCACCGGUAAGAUUGGAGAAUGAUAACUGAAAGCUGAGAAUGAAUAAACCUGAAUUGGUGGACUCCGGAUAAUCAAACUGAAAAGGACUCCUGAAUUUCUUCGAAUGGGUGAAAAGAAUUCUCAUGAUCAAAAUAAUUAUGAGAGGAUGGCAACAAACUAGAUCCACGAAUCCUGAAGAGAAUGGAGCAAGAUUUAGAGGAAAAAUCUUCUUCGGUCUUCAAAAUCCAAGAAUGACGAUGAGAAACACCACCAAGAAUUAUUGAGGCACUCUGGAAUGAAGAAUGAAAAGGUUGAUCCAACGAUGAAAAGAAUUGUGAAAGAUCUAGGAGAAGGCAUUUGACUGAUGAUAACUCACUCUUACGUCAAACUUCGAAAAGAAAUUAGGAUAGCUCCGGGAAAAUAAGAAGAGUCAGGUAAGAUCCUGGAAAAUGACCUAUGGGUUAGGGCCCACUCUAAAGAUACACCGUUGAAAUGAUUACUUGAAAAGGAGAAUACACCGGUUGAAUUAAAUGGCUUGAAAGAGAUAACCACCUCGAAAUAGGUUGAACGAAUCUUGAAUAACAAGAAGAGCCUUCUGAGAUAUCUUCACCACUCCGAAACAAUAGAAUAGCAAGCGGGGAAUGAUUAUGAGGUGCACCGACAUGUGAAUAGCAUUAGAAACAAAGAAAAGAAUAUGAUCAACACUGAAAACUCGAAUUGAAUCCACCGGAGAAGGAAAAGCACGAAGAAUGAUGAACUUGAAUCUCCGUUGGAAUCUUCAUGAGAAACACUGGGUAAGAACAUUGAAAGAAAAGAAAGAAGAGACUUCACAUGAAUAAGAUGGACACUUGAUCAAGAAAUCUGAAUCCUUGAAGAAAAAGGGUGGGUGGGCGGGAAAAACAAAGGCAACUUGGAGACGGAUGAAACAAACACCAUUGAGAAGAACUGAUACUUGAUCUUGCGGAUGUUGAAAUGAUUGGAUCCACUUGAAGAGAAACACACCGGUUGAGAAGAUGAUUGACAUGACAAUAUCGAUUAUCAUGAAGGAUUAGUAUUCACAUCGGAGUAUGAGAACACCAUUUGGGGAAGGUAUGGAAUCAACACUUGACAUUGAAGCAACUCGAAUACCACAACUCAAAACAAAAGAAAGGAUUGGCUUGCAAAAUAAGCCGGAACAAACAUAUGAUAGAGAUUUCGUCUGAAGUUUUCGUGGUGGGGCCUACACGGGCUCGAUCGUACAACACCGUCAUGUACAAGGCAGUGCACAUGACAUACGAAGUGUCCCCGAGUCAGCAUAGCCAAGGACUCUUUAAGACACAACGAGACCACUGUAAAACCAACCGUGGAUAGGCGGACCAGUAGACGUCAAUCCCCAAUUUCAUAUCAUACAUCUAUCGGAAAGAUAUCCUAAGAGCUACUUGAAUUCCCACUUAUAAACUCCCGAAAUUUUCCGGUUAUGCAAUCAGGUGUUGGGGAUACAGGGGAAGCAUAAUAUCUCACCCAAAACUACACAAAUCCUACAUCCAGCUGUAUCCAUCCUUCAACACAUAACCAAGAAACCUUCGGAAAUCGUUUACCUCAACCUUUGAAAAGCAUCCGUUAUACGAGUUAUGGCAAUACUCCCGAACUCCCGCCCCAGUACUGGGUGGCGUCGAGGUUAUCUCACCAACAACUGCAUAAAAGAGCUUUUCAAUGUUGGCGAACUCAGGUAUUCCAGAACUGCAAUGAUAAAAUUGUGACGACAACACCUCGGAGCUCAACUCCCCGGGACACUGCCACAAACCCUAAAUGUCAGGAGGCACCAAGAACAAUGUUCUCAUCACAAAACCAUCGGAACGAUUCCAAGAUACCCGCAUGAUCCUAAAAUUUUUUUUAGUGAAAAUUUGAGAAGAGAAGAGUCAAAACUCUACGUCAGGAUGCCUCACCAGAGCGACGAAGGGACUGAGGACUAAAAAGAAGUCCUAUUCUCCGAUAUAUAUAAUUCCUAAAUGACUCAAAACAUUUUUCUAGACUCAACAACGCCAGCGAUUCGAUCAAGCAGGGGGCUCCUAAAGUCAGGGAAGGCUCUAAUUACCCACUUGUAACGCCCUCGAUGCGGCUAUAUCUCCCACUUGUCAAAGCACGACAUAGAGGCAUAACCGCAUUGAAAGCAAUGUCGCAAGUGAGGUAAUCUUCACACAACCCAUGUAAUACAUAAGGGAAAAAGAAACAUAGUUGGCCUACAAUCGCCACUUCACACAAUACAUGAAUAAAGCAUUACAUCAUCCAGAUACAGUCAAUGUCCGACUACGGAACCAAAAUAAAAAAAGACUACCCCAAAAGCUACACAGGUCCCCGAUCGUCCCAACUGGGCUCCACUACUGAUCAACUGGAAACAGAACAACAUAAAGAACACGAUCUUCAUCGAGCUCCGCCUUGAGCUCGAUUGCGUCACUUGCAUGGUUUCAUCGGCACCUGCAAACUGGUUUUGGAAGUAUCUAUGAGUCACGGGGACUCAGCAAUCUCACACCUCGCGAUCAAGACUAUUUAAGCUUGUAGGAAGGGUAAAAGGUAUGAGGUGGAGCUGCAGCAAGCGACUAGCAUAUUUGGUGGCUAACAUAUACGCAAAUGAGAGCGAGAAGCGA
rnacentral:lncRNA from 1 species